CGAGUACAACUCCCUGGCAUGCACUAUUGAGAUUGUCGAUGAUGUCCAGGCUGCUAUUAAUCACAUACAUGAACAUGGAAGGCAUAAUUUCAAUUCUAUUCACUGUGUAAAUUAUGUUGGCACUGCGAGAUGAGUUUCGUGUCGUGAUGUUGUUUCCUCUUUGUCUGCAGUGCACAUACUGAUUGCAUCAUUGCAGAAGACCCUGAAGUAGCAGAGACUUUUUUACGACAAGUUGACAGGUAAAGGACACAUGUUUCAGUUGAGCUGACUUGAGUAUCAAAGUGUAGCUUCAGCCUCAAGUUACUAACAGCACUUAAACUGGUGAUCUUGAUUCUGUUCACAAAUGCAGUGCUGCUGUUUUCCACAAUGCAAGUACAAGAUUCUGCGAUGGAGCAAGAUUCGGACUUGGUGCAGAGGUAACUAAAACUCUUCUGUCAGUCUGUUUAACCACACCAUUACUUAAAAGUGUCCUGACCUGAAAGAUCCUUAUAACUGGAUUCUCCUUGAUGGGUGAUACAGGUGGGAAUCAGUACAAGUAGAAUCCACGCUCGAGGCCCCGUAGGAGUCGAAGGAUUGUUGACAACCCGAUGGUGAGAAGCCACUCAUAAUCGGUUUGACCCCACGAUCAUUUUAACAUGUUCCGGUUUUCUGAACAAGUUGCCACAUUUUCUCUUGUGCAGGAAACUGAGAGGCACUGGGCAAGUAGUGGAUGGUGAUAGGGGAGUGACCUACACCCACAAGGACAUAGCUGUAUAGGUUGCAGUCUGAGUCGAGAAAGGAGGCGCCUUUAACCACCAUCUAGAAGCAUGAGAAGUAAUCGGUCAACCUUUGCUUACGACCGUUGCUUGGGGUUUAAUAAACCAUGUUUAGGGUGCAUAUGUAAUAUGUUCUGUGACCUUUGUGUUACUCAAUAAGUUUCCAUAUCUUCAUUGUUGGAAGUGAAGGUUAUUUAUUUACCACCAUUUGUAAGUGUUUUUGGUUACGUCUGGUGCUGUUGGCCUCGGCCGCCAAAGGCUCAGAUAUCGCAAGUUAGUCAACAGCAGGUCUGUUCUCCGAAAAUUUGUAUUGUUUCACUUUACUGAUCUCUGAUGCAUUUUGGGAACAAUUUUUAACGUCAAAGAGGAAAAUAGCCAAGUAGAUGAUUUAUCAAUCUGUCGUUUUUACUUUUUAUUUGAAACGGGAAUAGUUUGUUUGGGGGAUAUACUGAUUUGGUACAUGGAAUCUGUUUAUUUUUCUGGUUAUGUAGCUUUGCUGAUCUCCAGAAGCCACCGGGUGAUCUGGACGGGAAGGGGUGUGCUGCUGUUGGACAGAACAGUAUCAUGGCCCUUUAUGACACCUUGUUCAGUCAGGUGAUUGAUUAUUCAUUUAGAUAUAUCCAUAUGAUAUGCAUCUCAUGUUCAGUAGCUGAUGAAGUUUCCCAUGGGGUCUUGUGUGCAGCUGGAUGUGACUUCUGCUCAGAUUCUCGUGACUGAUAAUGAUUUUAGGGAUAAAGAUCUCAGGACUCAACUUCAGCAGACUGUUGACUCGCUGCUCAACCUCAGGGUUGUCCCCAUUUUCAACGAGAAUGAUGCAGUCAGUACCCGGAAAGCCCCAUAUGAGGCAUGCAACCUUUUGCCUUCUUUCUCCAACUUGUUGUGUUACGUUUCUGUGGUUUUUAAUUUACUUUAAUCUGUUUUUAAUUUCACGAUUUGCACCCAACUUGAUAGUCUGACUAGUGAGCACCCUCUACAGGAUUCCUCUGGCAUCUUCUGGGACAAUGACAGCUUGGCUGCCUUGCUUGCAUUGGAGUUGAACGCUGAUCUUCUUGUUCUGCUGAGUGACGUGGACGGUCUUUACAGCGGUCCACCAAGUGAUCCAAAGUCAAAGUUGAUUCAUACAUACAUUAAGGAAGUGCAUCAAGGUGGAAUCACGUUUGGAGACAAGUCUAGGGUGGGAAGAGGCGGAAUGACAGCAAAAGUUAAGGCUGCUGUCAAUGCUGCUAAUGCAGGUGUUCCUGUUAUCAUAACCAGGUAUUCUUCUGUGCUGUAAAAAUACUUUUUCCUUGAUUCCUUCUAUGUUUGCCAGUGUUCUAACAUGUAAGAUAUUAUCUUUAACUGUUUCCCGUUUCUCUCAAUGUGUAAUGAUCUUUUGGUUGGCUAUUUUGAAGCGGAUUUGCUCUCCAGAACAUAAUUAAAGUCCUCCAUGGAGAUGAUAUUGGCACUCUCUUUCACCGGGAUGCUCACUCGUGGGUCAGAACGAAAGAAACGGGAGCCCGUGACAUGGCUGUUGCAGCAAGGGAGUGUUCUAGACGUCUGCAGGUACGGCUGUUUAUAUUGUUAAAAGUUAAAUUUUCUUUUGUUUUAUUUGUAUAAAAAAUAAUCUAGAGAGGGAACCUUCACAACUGUACAGUUCAAAAAUUUACUGGCUUGAUAAUGAGAUGACAUAAUGAAUUAAUGAUCAUGACCUCUUCCGCAGGCACUAUCCUCAGAAGAGAGGAACAAGAUAUUGCUGGAUAUAGCAGAUGCCCUCGAAGCCAAUGAAAAAGUAAUUAAGGUUGAGAAUGAUGCAGACCUUGCUGCUGCUGAGCAGGAAGGACUAGAAAGCUCCUUGUUAGCACGGUUGGCACUGAAGCCCGGGAAGGCAAGAUACCCUGGUGCUGUUGCUCUGUUAUGUCUUUAUUUCUUGUGACUGCUUCGGACAGUGUAACUGCUUUCUGGCUUUAUGACGUAGCAGCACUGCUGGCAAUGAUGAUAUCCAUUUCUAAUCUUGUUUAUGCUAACCUUCCAGAUUACAAGUCUUGCUAAAUCCUUGCGUGUCCUUGCAAACAUGGAAGAUCCAGUCGGCCAUGUAUUGAAGAAAACUGAAGUAAGAAUAUUACAGCUAUUAUUCUGUAUCUUUCUUCUCAUAUUCUGGAAACUUGGGUUCAAUCUGUCCAGGGUUUAUACUCUAGUAACAUAGCUAAUAUAAAUUUACACUGUUGAUGUUACAGCUUGCAGAUGGUCUUGUUUUAGAAAAGACAUCUUCUCCUCUAGGUGUUCUCCUGAUUGUGUUUGAGGCUCGGCCUGAUGCACUAGUGCAGGUGGGUUAAACCAUGGUCAGCAAACUUUGUCCUCCUAAAACCCGAGUCUAGUUGUUUACUAAUGUGUUGUUGUUGUUGUUGUUGUUGUAUUCCUUAUACAGAUAGCUUCAUUGGCUAUACGCAGUGGAAAUGGUCUCUUACUGAAAGGGGGGAAGGAGGCCAAGCGAUCGAAUGCAAUUUUGCAUAAGGUCUAGUUCAAUGUGAUCAUGUUGGAGAAAAUGCAAAUUCUUUUACUUCCUCUGAAGUUUGCUUCUAGAUAUGAAUUGUUUUACAUUUGUGCUGACUACUGAUGCUAUUCCUCCUCUUUUAUUAAUUUGUUCUAAAAUAAUAACAUGUAUAGGUAAUCACUGAUGCUAUUCCAAACAAUGUUGGGAGAAAGCUUAUUGGACUGGUGACCUCAAGAGAAGAAAUUCCUGACCUGCUUAAGGUGGGCAGCUGUUUGAUAUAUAUUCAAACGGAUGUAAAUUCAGACAAUGUCUGCUUAAAAUUUAAAAGGCCUGGACUGACGCUUCUUCUAUUCUUAUCAGCUUGAUGAUGUGAUCGAUCUUGUGAUUCCUAGAGGCAGCAAUAAGCUGGUUUCCACUAUCAAAGCAUCAACCAAAAUCCCUGUUCUGGGUCACGCAGGUUAGAUGAAUGACUAAUAUCAUAUCUCAUUGGCCACAUGUGGUUUUGUGACCUUACCAAACUUGAAAAACACAUUUUUUUCCUGCACAGAUGGAAUUUGUCAUAUAUAUGUCGACAAGUCUGCUAAAAUGGACAUGGCGAAGCGUAUUGUGAUAGAUGCGAAAGUGGAUUAUCCAGCUGCCUGUAAUGCAAUGGUAAUCUUGUCUUUUGUUUCAGUUGGUUCACUUGCUUGUUGCUAUUCCCUGAUAAACAAUGUGAAUUCAAUAUUUAUGUCUUAUCUCUCUUUGGUUUGCUGUGUUUAGGAAACUCUUCUGGUGCAUAAGGAUUUGCUUCCCACUCGUGCUCUAAAUGAGCUAAUAGUUGAUCUUGGAAGUGAAGGUAGGAUCCAAUUUGUCAUGUAAGUAACUAAGGCACAAGUUUACAGACCGGCUAUAAAAUGAGAUGUCUCUAUUUUAGGUGUGAUUGUAUAUGGCGGGCCAAGGGCAAGCAAGGAGCUGAACAUUCCGGAGACAGCAUCGUUCCAUCACGAGUACAACUCCCUGGCAUGCACUAUUGAGAUUGUCGAUGAUGUACAUGCUGCUAUUAAUCACAUACAUGAACAUGGAAGGCAUGAUUGCAAAUCUACUCACUGUGUAAAUUAUGUUGGCAUUGCGAUAUGAGUUUCGUUUCGUGAUGUUGUUUCCUCUUUCUCUGCAGUGCACAUACUGACUGCAUCAUUGCAGAAGACCCUGAAGUAGCAGAGACCUUUUUACGACAAGUUGACAGGUAAAGGACACAUGUUUCAGUUGAGCUGACUUGAGUAUCAAAGUGUAGCUUCAGCCUCAAGUUACUAACAGCACUUAAACUGGUGAUCUUGAUUCUGUUCACAAAUGCAGUGCUGCUGUUUUCCACAAUGCAAGUACAAGAUUCUGCGAUGGAGCAAGAUUUGGACUUGGAGCAGAGGUAACUAAAACUCUUUUGUCAGUCUGUUAAACCACACCAUUACGUAACGUGUUCAAACCUGAAAGAUCCUUAUAACUGGAUUAUGCUUGAUGGGUGAUACAGGUGGGAAUCAGUACAAGUAGAAUCCACGCUCGAGGCCCCGUAGGAGUCGAAGGAUUGUUGACAACCCGAUGGUGAGAAGCCACUCAUAAUCGGUUUAACCACACGAUCAUUUUAACAUGUUCCGGUUUUCUGAACAAGUUGCCACAUUUUCUCUUGUGCAGGAAACUGAGAGGCACUGGGCAAGUAGUGGAUGGUGAUAGGGGAGUGACCUACACCCACAAGGACAUAGCUGUAUAGGUUGCAGUCUGAGUCGAGAAAGGAGGCGCCUUUAACCACCAUCUAGAAGCAUGAGAAGUAAUCGGUCAACCUUUGCUUACGACCGUUGCUUGGGGUUUAAUAAACCAUGUUUAGGGUGCAUAUGUAAUAUGUUCUGUGACCUUUGUGUUACUGAAUAAGUUUCCAUAUCUUCAUUGUUGGAGGUGAAGUUAUUUAUUUGGGGCCUCUUCCGAUCCAUGACUAGUUGAUUUGGAACGUGAAGUGGUGGUCUUCUGAUUGGUCCCAGACCCUAGUUUAGAAAGCUGCUUAUAAUUAUUGUAAACUCCAUUUGUGGUAGGUACAUUUUCUGCCAGACUCCCUUCAUCGAGUUCUCUCUAUUGUUCGUACUGCUACUGAUAUAUGAUAAUAAGAUGUGUCUUUUACUUCAAUUCUGCAAGCUCUCAAUUGCAAUUCUUGUCUGCAUAAGAAACUCAGCUGAACUCGAACGAGAUUCCGCUCUUCUUGGAAAAGGCGACGACCAAUGGGAGGCUAGAUUGAGCUGGUCUUUCGGUAUCAUCUUCAUCGUUGUAAUUGCAAUUACGAUGUUUGAGUCCAAACACUUUCUUAAGUUACUUAAGUUGAUAGAUCACCAUGUUAACUCAUUAUUUUGUGUCCACGUCCCCUCUCUGCCAUGUCAACUAUAGUCCAAAGUUGUGUUUGUUUCAAGUGAGUUGGGUUAUCUUAAGUAGAACGAAUAUAGAGUACGAUUAGUCAAACUCAUAAACUAUUUAAUCUGAUUCACAAAGUAAACCCGUUGACAGCUGAAAGGAACUAAACUUUGUCAUGUAGUGAACUACAAAAGUAAGUAAACAACCAGUGAUAGAUGUAACUAAGAACUUAUCAAGCUGUCGCUAAUCCUCGAAAGAGAGGGUUAGGUCAAUUUAAUUUGGCAAAUGAAAUUGUUCUAAUAUAAAGUUUAUUGAAUAAGUGAGAAUUAACAGAAUGAUCAUAUUGUUACCAUCGAAACGAGAGUCGCCAUUGUUACAAUUGUCCAAAAAGUAUUAAGCUAGAAUUUCAGGAUUUUAGGAGGGUUUGUUGGUUUAAGAAUUGAGCCGCUCUAACAAGGCCCGAUUACGGACUUAAUGUGGCGGCCCAAAUACGGGCUUAAAGUGAUAGCUCAACCCUGAACAAUCCGGUAUUCUAACGGCCCUCUCUAACUUGGACUUUCGGCCCACUUGAACAAGUUCGUUUCAGGUUUUCAGCAGGGCACCGCAUUUCCCGUUUGUUUUUACUCGGUGAGAAGCAAUCAGAAGAGCCAGUCUACACUCUACGGAUGGGAAAAGAUAAAAGGAAGCUUAAGCUUUUGAGAGGAAGAGGUGACACGCGCAUAAACAAUUUCCUUUUUUCUUUUUCGUCGGUGUUUUAAUAUUGGAAGUUGUCGCUGUUGAGUUGUUAAUGCAAUAAACAAACAAGUGCGCAGUGUCAUUUUUCUGGGUGGUUGGGUGGGGAGAAGAAGAACAUUCUUCCAUUAACUUCAUCACGAAGAUCCUAACUUCCUAAGACCUGCCCAAAAGAGGAAAAGAAGAUCCGAAGACCCUAUAACCCAAACCCAAAUCACCUAUCUUCCAUCCAUGGAAUUGAUGGGAAGGAUGUGAGGGAUUGGACUUCUCACAGUUGGGUCCUAUUUUUCCAGCUGACUUCUGUAAAAGGGUGUAAAGUUUGCUUCUUUUUGUGUCUGAUGAAGGAUUUGUUUGGGAGUCCAGGGCGGGUGAGUGGGUUAGGAUUGAGGGUAGGGCAAUUUGUGUUUGCAGCUGCUUCGAUUGGAGUUAUGGUUUCUGCUCAUGGCUUCUUCAACUCUACUGCUUUCUGGUAAAGAAAUUUCUUCUUUUUGUGUUUCCUUCCCUUUCCUUUUGUUGUCUGUUGUUGUAGAGACGAAAAAUGGGGUUUUAAGCUAAUCGGGGUUUGCUUCUAGUUUGGAAUUGAUUAUGGUUCAGCCAUCACUUGUCAAUGGUCCCUUUUGGUUAGUAAUUGGGUUACAUUUCUCAGUCUAGUACUAGUUCUUAAUCUGUAAGAGCUGGGACCGUUUGAAAGAAGUAUAUUAACUCAUGAAGAAUCUGUUUGGCUAGCAAGCCCACCAAUUACAAUUUUCAGUCAUGGUAAAUUAAUUCACUGGCCUGUAAAAAUGUCGAGAAUUGGGGUGAUUUAGGUUAUAAUGGUGGUUCUUUUGACUGCAAUUGCGGCAAAUUUGAUUCAAGAUGGUAGAUUCAAGAUUACCGUCUAUAAUUAACUGGAGUUGGUGAUAGAACGUGUCCUUCCUAGUAGUACAUUGUUGUGAUUAGAGGGUUUUAAACUGUGCGUGAUGAACUCGGGGAUGGAGCAACAAUUGAACAUUGAUGUUUUCUUACACAGAAUGAUCAGUGAGAGAUUGCAAGUUGAGUUUUGCCAAUCCGGGAACAGCUUAGUUUUGUAAUAGCUGCUCCUUGUUCUUUCUUUCUCUGCUCAGUAGCUCACAUGUCAUGACAGAUAAUGCUUCCCAUAUGCCCAAGAAUAAUCAUAUCCUCAUUCUCAUUAAUUCCCUUUGCUCUCAUAAACAGGCAGUUAGAGUCAGAAAUUUUGAAACUUUGGGUAAUUCCUGCUAAGUAGGAAGAAUAAGAACCUGCAUAAAUGAAAAAUGCGAUAAUUACAGAGGUCUACAUGGUCAAUGUAUAUUUGUGUUCAGAACUCGUGGAAAGAUGCCCUCGAUGUAAUGAUAAGCUCUCUCAACUUCUUUAACUGCAUAUGUUUGACUAGUUCAGUUUUGUGUUUCGAUAAUUCAGCUAUUUGAUUGCAUCGAUGGGCCUUCAAGUGCUUUGGAGUUUCGGACUUGCAUGCCUCGACCUCCAUGCAUUGAGACUAAAGAGAAGCCUGCAGAAUCCCGUCUUAGUGAGCCUAUUUGUUGUUGGCGAUUGGGUAACUGUCCUAUCCUUACUUCAAAAGAUCAAUUGAACUUUCUUUAUAGGUGCGGAACUGUGAAUCAUCACUAUCCUAUUCUUCUUGUAUUCUUUAAAACUUCAUACCGCACUUGAAUGCAAGGCCAAAUGAUCAUUUCUCUUUGCCGUUCCCUUUCAAUUGAUGAGAUCUUCUGCUAUGUUCUUCUUAUCAUGUUGUCUUUGCAUGAUCGUUCCUAAGUCACAUCUCUUUCUAUGGUCGAAUCAACCAAGUGACUUAACCUGCGACCAUUUCACUAAUUAACGCAGGUGACAUCAAUCCUCUCACUUGCAGCUGCAUCUGCAUCAGCAGGAGUUAUAGUUUUGUACGCUAGAGACCUGCAUUACUGCAAGUCCGAUACUCAUUUCCCGUGCCAGAAGUUCCAAAUCUCCAUUAGUUUGGCUUUCAUCUCAUGGUUUCUCGUUGCAGUUUCAUCCCAUGUCAUGUUCUGGCUCAUGGCCUCACUAUGAGAGUUCAAAAUGCAGAGGUCUUCCUUUGUGGCUGUAAAUUCAAGUUACUCAUGUUCAGCUCAUAGGAUUUACUUUUCUUUUUUACUUGUUUCUUCGGCUCUCCUUUUUUGUUUUGAGCCCUAGGUCAUGAGAAGUUGACACUGUCAAAAGCUGUGUUAUUAUUGCCCUCUCUACCAAUCAAGCUGAGUUUAUGUGAAUCUGUGGCUUGUUUGGAGUUGGUAGUAAUCUUUGGUCCUUAAUGGUCGAUCAGUUGUGGGGAUUGUCGAUCAUGGAUGUUAUUAUGUUAACGAUUAUAACUUACAAUUACAACUGUAUGUCUUGGGAGAUUCGGUUUCAUGUGUCAGGAUUGGUUUGGGCGGGUUACUGGUUUCAUCUGGCUGGGUCGUAUUCUGGCAGCUGCAUAACAAAUGAAGUCACCAGAGAGUCACAAGGAUGAUUUUCUUUCUACUUCAAAGAAACACUUGUUGAAAUCACUCAAGUAAAUGGCCAACUAACCAUUGGUGCUUGGUGACAUGUUCACUUGGGGACCAUACAUUUGCUCUCAAUGAUAAAAAGGAAAAGUUCAAUAUUCUUUCACAACUAAAAGUUGGGCGGCUCACUAACUGUCGAUCCAUGCUUGGCUUGUUAUAAUUUUUAGCAGCGUUAGAGCUUGAAUUCGAGUUGUAAAAUUCUGACUUGUGUUGAGCUCGAGCCUAUACGAGUCUGGCUCGUUAAUUAUCAUUUACGAGAUAAAUGCGAGAUGUAUUCGAACUUCGCUCAUUAAAACCUAUAAUGAGAGUCUAAUUUAAGUUAAAUUUGAAGGUUGUACGCUCAUAAACAUCGACGAGUCAGUUAAAAAGCAAGUUAUCCUAAAAUUUAUAAAUUUCUACAUAUGUUUUAUUGUAUAUGGUAUUUGAGACAAAACACAUGUUGCAUGAUUGAGUCUAUUAUAGAGUUACUAUCCGAGUUGGCUCUCGAGCUCGCGCGUAUCGAGUCGAACAUACCCCCGGCUCGAGCCUUACGGGUUUUUUCCGAGCCCAACACCGAGCUGCUCGCUAACGGCUUGGUUUGUGAACAGCUCUAGUUAAAAGUAGUGAGGCUGAUGAGCAGAGCCGAGGGUAUGUUCUAAAGAUUGAUUAUUGAUUUCGAGUCCGGUUCGGUUUGGCUAAAAAUUGACUAAUUUGCAAGUCCUAAAGAGGUUGUGCUCGAGCUCGGUUCGAGCGUUGACAUAAGCCACUAUGUAAAAUAUUAUUAAGAAAAGUAGAGACGGCCGGUUAACGAGGCAUGAUUGCUGCUGCUGCUGCUUGGGCUUGUAAUAGAAAAACAUAGAUGAAUGAAUGAAUGCAGACUCAUGUGGUGGUGCUGGUCUUUUAAUAUGACAAUGACAGGUAAUUAACCACUUGAAAAGUCGUUCACACUUCAUCAGUACACUCAGCUGGGACCAUAACCUCUUUUAACACUUUGCUCUGCUUGUGUUUAGCAUCUUCUCAUGAAGAUACCCUUAUCCGAUUCCCUCAUAAAUAAAACAGAGAACUAGCCCCCACAGGUUAGGUUCCAAUGGUUAUAUUGUGUCAUCUUCUGCCUGUCCUAAUUCACACAGUGUUGGAAACUCUUGAUACUUCUGGGUAGCACAAUAUGGCAAAAACCGACUAGUUUGCUCUAACUAAUCGAUUAGUUAAGAUGUUCGUCGAAUCAAAGAGAUACGGUUGUAGUCAUCUGGUUCAGAAGUUGACGAGAAAGAUGCUACCUUUUUGGCAAGAUUCAUCAGAUGAACUCUGCUGGGAGUGCCCAGCUGGCCAUAUAUCCCUCCCACUAUGUUCUUUAUGGAUUAGUAGUAUACUUGCAAUAUGUAGAUAGUAACCUUAUUAAAUCCCAUAUGGCCAAUGGGGUAGCUUGUGCAUAAAGAAAGAGACAUAUACAGCAAUCAUGACAUGUUAAAGAGUGAGACAUAGCAGAAGGAUGAACAGAUCCAAAAAGGGCCACUGCCAACUAAGAAAGUGACAAUAAUUGAUGCCACCGACGCUACAGUUUCACAACACCAGUUAUAAGUUAUAACUCGAUCCACAACCUUCAUACUGAGGAUCUGUAAACGUAUAUUAGUACACAAUCUCCAUUCCACAGCUGCAAAUUGUUCUCAAAAGGGUAUAUGGCACAUUUCUAUAUGGCAGAAGGAGAAAAGAUGGACAAUUUCAGAACAAUCUUCUACUGUGGCACAACUCCAAGAAGGAACUCCCAGAAACCCAUUUUUUUACACUUGUGCAUGGAGGACAAAGGGGGGAAAGGAUAUGAAGACUUCGUGAUGAAACACACAUACAAUUGACUGAAUAAUUUCCCCUAUUUGGGAGAUGAACCCUAAAACAUAAUAAUUCUACACCUCUCAAAAACCAGGAACCACCACCCUUUCUUCUUCACAUCACAAUCUCCGGCUUCAAGAUGCUUGACUUAAUCUCCUUGUGGGGGAGCACAACACCGCCGUUGCUGUAAAUCUCGUCGCAAACAUGUACAUCCUCGCCGAGGAUCGUCAUGUUCUCGACGCGGGCCCACUGGCCAACUGUCGAGUGCCAGCCGAUGAUGCUGCUGGAAAUGCAAGCAUGCUUCUUGACACGAACUCCGCGCAUCACAGUGCAACGAGACAGUCUAACCCCCGAUUCGACAAUGCAUCCCGGUCCUAUCGCUACAUCAGGACCAAUCAAACAUCCUUCUCCGAUCUUAGCUGUUUCGUCCACCAGAACAUUGCCGACUAUAUGGGAUCCAGUAGCCAGCUUGGACGAGGAUUUCUUCCUCAGGGAAUCGAGAUAAAGUCUCAAUCCUGUAAUGUAGUCUCGAGGCUGUCCAAUGUCCAUCCAGAACCCGGGGAGGACCAUUGCGAAGAGUUUCUUGUCUGCAGCUAUCUGGGGGAACACCUCUUUCUCGAUUGAGGUGGGUCUCAGCUGAAUUCGGUCCAGAACCGAAGGGUUCAGUAGAUAGAUUCCAGCGUUGAUUUUGUUCCCCACGAAUAUCUUUGGCUUCUCUACAAAUUUAUCAACCUGCCCUGUGGAUUCCUCCAUAACCACCACACCAUAUUUUGAGGGCUCAUCAACCUGUGUAAAAAGAAGAACAAUGAUUGAACCUUCCUGUCCUGUGAUUUCUACCAAAGAAAUGCAAACAGGUAUGUUGAAAGUUGGUACCUUGGUCACCAUAAUAGAAGCUUCUCCUCCAUGAGAUUUGUGAAACUCUAUCAUUUCCUUAAGAGGGUAGUCGCUAAUGACAUCGCUGUUGAGAACAAAGAAUGGUGCACCGGAUUUAUCCAUCAGCUUGUCCCUAGCAAGGGCCAAAGGACCAGCAGUCCCGAGUGGCUCAGUCUCCUGUGAGCAUGUGAUCUUAAUACCAAGCUUCGCCUCAAAUUCCUUCAGGAAGUUCAUCAUCACCUGCGAAUAAGGCCAGAAGCAAUUCAUUCAAACCUCGGACUUAGUAAAUCUACAGCUGGAAACAGAGAAAGGGAGCCCAUUUCCUUACCUCUGGCUGGUAGUUUAUAGCCAAAACCACCUCAGUCACUCCAAUCGCCUUAAGAGCCUCGAUCUAGAACAACAUUGAAAGAAUUAUAAAACACCAUUAGAUUCAGAUCAGACAUAAUAAUGCCAUAGAGUGUGAAGCAAGCAAGCAAGAGCAUACCUGAUGCAGGAUCAUUGGUUUGUUUGCAAAAUCAACAAGAGGCUUUGGAACACUGAGGGUCAAUGGCCUCAAGCGUGUUCCGAAUCCUCCAACAAGGAUCAAUGCCUUCAUUGUGAUUUACCUUCCUGCUUUUCCCGUAAAGCAAAAAAUAAAUAACAAGUACGCAGCAGCUCCACACAAAUGAUCCUUCCCAACUACUCCCCAAACAAGCAAACAAAGCAAGCAGAAUAAAAUGAAAUCAAGUUGCAUCUCCAGAAUCAGUAAAUCGAUGUAAGGAUUAGAAAUCGUCUAUGGAUUUGACUGGUUUUUCGUCAUUUAGUACAGAAAUAAAAAAGGAAAAGAAGCUUCAAAACGUGUAUAACCGACGAUCGGUUAUAUUGCAGACUCCAGAGCGAAGGACAUCAACUGAGAUCCUUUACAACCUUAUCCUUUUCAAUUUUCAUCACUGCAAAAAUGGGGAAGAAAAUGGCGUAUGCGGAAUCUCAAUUGACAAAACACAAAUUGUCCAAGUCAAGAAUGUCAAACGGAAGUCCGAAUCCGGUCAAAACAAAACAAAACAACGAGAUGAUGUCACAUCCGCCAGAUCCAAACAGCAGGUAAUGUGAUAACCGGUCACAUUGCUGAACAGAAUAUCAGAAUUAAAUGGCGGGAAGACUGAAAUCCGGGAGAGGGAGAGGGAGAUCCGAAACAGGGGAGUAAUAUGAAGAAACAGAGCAUAAAAAAAAUCACCUUGAGAAAGAGAUCGAGGGAGAGAUCGGCAGAGAACAGGGGGAAUUGGAAAUGUGAACGGGGUUGGGAUCGAGUUCCGGGAGGGGAUGAGCCAGCCGGAACGCGGGAAUCCUUGUCGGAGAGGGGAAGAGAGAGAGAGAGCGCCGGGGGGAGAUUGGGCGGGGUUUUAUAACGGACGAUGAGAGGAAAAGGAGGAGGUUGAGUGGCGGAGGACGAGAGAUUACAUUUGGUGGCGGUGGCUAUUUAUACGAUUGAGCUAAAUCAGGUAAUGUGCCCGACGGGAAAACUCUGGCGGAUUUCAAUUUCCUUAUUCAAUCCGAUUUUUUUGUUUUUGUUUUUGGUUUAAUGUGCUUUAAUUAAAUUACGAGAAUUUUUAUGGACGUGGAUUUUUUUAGAUAAAAUCAAUUAGAUUUAUAAAUGAAUGUUAAAUCGAGUGAUAAUUAUCAAAUACAUAAAUAAUUUAGUGAUAGUAAUAAUUUUCGUAUAACAUAUGAGUUGGUAAUUUGGGAAGUGCUACCUACAUACACAAUAAGGGAGAAUCAAUUAACCCUAUUAGUUACCGCAUUUCGCAUCUUUAAUCUCCUAACAAUUUUUUCAAAGACAUAGACAUGAAACUAAUGACACUACAACUAAAAUAAAUAAAAAGCAAAUAAAAGCAAAAAAAGACACUAACAAAUAAAAUUGAGAGUGAAUAAAAAAACUAUAAAUUAAAUAAAACAUAAAAGGCUGGAAAUAGGUUCGGCCGAAGCGGGGUAAACAUUGAUGAAUUCGAAUUGGAGUUUCACAAACCCCUAGAGAUAAUUAUUCAGUUGGACGGUGCCGUUUAUACCAUGGUUGUCGGAGCAUAGCCUCCCUUUUUCGACCAUUUCAACAACUUUUUAUCGUAAACUUUCUUGUAUUCUAUUGGAUGAAUCGUAGACGAUAGUUAAGAAAGCCGAGCCACCGUCGUGAAAAAAGAAAUAAAAAUUCCUAUUCGAAGGGAGAAUGCAUGGAUUUAUUAAUACCUCUCCUUAUAAGUUGUAUCCAUCACCAAAUGUCGUCGAAGCUAAAGCAAUCAGCCUGAUCAGCUUCUACACAUAGUGUGUACUGAAUUUCAAUUGAUUUAAUGCGAAGGCUGACUGGGUAACCAAAGCUACUCAGCUGAUCAAUCUCUUUAAUCCCCCCAAAAAACAGUUUGAUUUCUUAAACGAGAUGCUUAUGCUGGUGUAUCAACAUUUUUGUAAAGGAAGUCGUUUUUAAUUAUAUAAAAAUAAAAAUGUUGUAAUAGCUAGUCUGGUGAUCAAUGGGUGGUUGAUUGGAUCUGUACAUCUUGUGGAUCAAUCAUGAAUAAUUAAUCAGCAGCUAGCGUGUGUUCUAACAGUGGAGCUGAGUUGCCAGUGUCAAUCCGUCGCAUCGCAAUAUGAUAUGAACCAACCGCAUAGAUCUGCCCUGACUGUGGGAAUGUGCGGCACCUUUGCUCCAUGCGAACGAUCUUGGGCUGUAAUCCCAGAAUCCAAGUGUCAUCUACCCCUCGAACUCGGAACAAACUUGAAGAGUUGGAUUGCAGUUCCCCACUUGAAUUUUGGGGUGUUGAUUAAACAAUUUAAUUAACUGAGUUAGGUUGGAGUUUGGACGCAUGUAGUGAAACUGGCAUGAAGUUUGCCAGUUUGGUCUUAGGUUAAAAUUUGGAUGUAAUGAAACUAGCAUGAAGUUUUUGGACCACUUUUCUUUCAUCGUCCAUUCAAGAGCAAGCAUGAACCUGGCAAUUACAAGUAUAGUAAAAAUUACAAAAACAAUAUUUUGGAAGAAUAAACAACGAACGGAAUGAAAUUGAACGUAAAAUCGAAACAUAGUCAUCGAUGGUCAUGACAAAAAAAGAGUUAUAUAAAGUACGAAAAAAAUAUUUAGUGAAACAAAGACAAAACUAAUAUUGAGAUCGAAAGACUAACUAAUCUCAAGUAUAGUUUAAUAUUAGAACCAAGUUGACCUUCUUAAUCCCUUAGAUUAUUAUUAUGUUAUAAAAUGAUCGGCCGCCGGCGGGCAUGGCGGAUGCCGUAGUUUGCUGCUUGGCACUUUAAUUAGAAAGGCUCCUUUUAUGAAGAAACACUCCAUUUUUUCAACAAAUGUCCCAACUGUAAUGGAAAAAAGUGUAAAAUGCUUCUUUACGUACAAAAGAUCACGCUAGCAAUGCACUAUUAUUUGGUUUAUGUUGUUAAUUGCUAUAAUAGAUUUUGCUAAUUUAAUAUUUUAGAUAAUUUAAUGGUUGUUUGGUUGAUUUUACUUUACUUUAAUUUUGGUUAUCAAUCUUGGUUUAGUAUGUUUUGCAUCCCCAACUUACCCAAAAUUCGACGAUGGAUAAAGAUUGUAUAAAAUCUAAAUCUGAUUACUAUUAUCGAGUUAAAAUUCUCUAAAUCUAAUCAUAUAACGAAUAGGUAAUAGAUUUAUAUAAAUCUUAUUCCGAUCCACCUGAUUACCGUGCCUAUUUGCUUCGUUGGACCCUUGGACUUAGUCUUAGAAGGUGGCCCAUCGUCUGUCUAAUUCAGGGUGGGAAAAGUAGGCGAUGACAAACCAAUGGGUUUGACCAUAUAUCGACUCCGCACCUAUCUAAUCUAUAUAAUUAAUUAAAAAACACUACUAAUUUCUGAAUUAUUCACUAAUCACAAAACCAAUAAACCGUCAACCAUCACAGUAAGCUCCGGGGUCAAAGGUGAAGCAAAUAAUGCGCAACCUACGCAAAAAAGAAAAAGAACGCGCUUAAGAGACUUUUCAUAUUUGCCCUGAUAAUUUCAUUGGUAGAGUUACGUAUUAUCGAUUUGAAUUGAUAAAUUCAGUAAUAUUUUGCAAGUUAAAUAUUUUAAUUUUCUUAUUUUUUUGUCGUAUGAAUCUAUUAACUCUUACGAUGUUUAAUUGGCACUUUGAGUGGAGAUUUAAGAAGUGAAUAUUGAGAAGACGUCUCAAAUUAUUAGGAUAGAGCACAAAGUGUGCGAUAAGCAGGGGCGGAGACGGGCAGCCCAAGUGGGAGCGCAGGAACCCACUUGGACAAUAUAUAUAUUUUUUAUACUAGUAGGUAAUUUUAUGCAAAAGACUAGAUUUGGAUCUAAAACUCCACUUGAAUUUAGUUCGAAAUUCAUAUCAUUCGUUUACCUACGUUAAAUUUGGAAUAAAAUAUUCCAAUAACACAACUUAUUAGUAAAUAAUGAUCAUAAGUUUAGUUCAAACAAUCCAAAUACGAAGCAAAAAAUUGUCGGUGGCAUAUUUUAUAACUGAAAACAAUAUAUUUUAACAUAGAGUUAGGUUUGAAACACUUUCCUAGUUAGUUGAUUUUUCGAUAUACAGAUUUUUUAUUCAAAUUUCGCUCAAUGCAUGUUUGAUUUUGGUUUCACAACUCAACCUCAUUCUUUAUAACUAACUAACUAAUGAAGAAAGUUAUUAACAAAAGUCAGAAUAUCGAAUGUAAAAAAUGGUAUAUUGAAAAUAUAUCAUUUGAUGUGAACAGAAAUUAUAUUAUAAAGUACUUUCAUAAUAUAAAAAUUCUACGAACAAUAUUAAUUAGAAUAAGGACCCCACUUGACUCAAAUCCUAAUUAUAUCAUUGGCGACGGACGACGUAAUCAUCAUAAAAUUUAUAAUGGCUUGUUAUCAUUUGCAUUCACAAUAAGUAAUCCAACAUGAUGCUAAUAAAACUAUCCAUUUAAUAAAAAGACAAACUCUAUCAUAUCCUCCGACUGUGUGAAAAUCCAUUUAUUAACUUGAGUAUAUAUGCAGUAUAUCUUUUAUGGUAUGCUUUCUCGAUUUUUUCCUUACAUCGGGUAAAAGAAAAGAUACCUGAAAUAAAACCCAAAGUUUUGUUUUGUGUGUGGAGCUCUGUUUCGGCGUACGAUUAAGGCUUAAGCCCAAAAUUACUGGUCCACAUACAGCUGAGCACUGAGCAGACCGUCCAGUCAGUCCAUUUAUCGUGGGAUGCUGGCCCAGCCCAUGGAGGCACUAUAUAUAUAAACUGCAGCUUCCACUCGUCUCCACCUUCCUUCCAUUGCAGCCGCCGCACUCUCGCGGCGCUUAACCAAACAGAGACUGAGAGCUCCUCAGUCAGUUUUCAUGUUCCCGUCGCAGGCGAUUACAUCACAAGACCGAGUACAAGCUCAUGUUGUUCCCGUCUUUUAACAAUGCAGUUUCUUUGGUUUCUGGUUUCGUUCCAUCAUUCAACAACUUGUUGUUCUGGGAUGAUGGGUGGUCAAUUAGCCAGUCACGUACUUGUACCCUUUUGAAAAGGAGGGUGCGUCCUUAUUGUGUGAAUGGUCAGUAAUCCACCCAUAUCAAAUACAACACACUCUGCUGUUGUUGUUCUGUUGAAAGAGCAUUUCUCGGUGGAACCAUACGUCUCUGGGUUUCACCCCUUGCUCUAUCAGCUACAUUCCCUUUCUUCUCUUUCAAACAAACUGAAAAAAAUGGAUAACCCCCGAAAUGAGUUACAAAUGUAUCCUGAUCGAAUCGAGGAGACAGUUGGUUCAGGUGGAUGAGACUCUAUUCAAAAUGAUACCAGAUCUAUCACUUUCAGGUGGUUCAUGGCUGCGUGAGGAUCAUAAUAAAAUGUACAGAAUCCUGUUUUUAUUAGCUAUUUGUAUGGAACUGCCGAACUGGCCGAUCCCAAUCUUGAUUUUUUGUUGUGUGGGGAGGACUGUGGACGAGGCUAUUCAUGUACUUGGUUGGCACUCCUUUACCCAUUAAGGGUGUCCCUUUUCUGAAUCGGCUUGUUGAUGCCUUCGAUGUAGUCAUACAAUUUUGGAGGUUAACGAAUAACGAUCGAAAACUUAAGGUUAUAAUUAGUGGCCUUAGAUUAAGAAAAGAUUCAAUUUUUAUGUACAUUUCGCAACAACCCAAAUGGAGGUACAUCGAUUUAUCCCACCGAAGACUAGAAAUCACAGUGGUCACAAUUCACAGAAGUAAGCAUCAAACAACUAACUAUAGCAUCUAUAUGCCAAGGGUACACUUUCCCGGAUACAUAAUCCAGUAGUACCACUUGCUUCAAACCUUCUAAUCUAACAAGAAAUUGGGAAACAAAUUUGCUGAACACAAUCCAGAGAUCAUCACUGCACUCAAUCAAGAGGUUCAGCUAACAGCAGAGUAUGCCACCAACCACACGCCACACUUCUGGGGAUAUAACCAUCCAUGCCGAGUUGGCUAGGCACGUUCCGGUCUAUUACAUCUCCCAAUCCGAGCUGUGUUCCAUAACAAUACCCUUUUAGUUCAUAUCAGUAAAGAAGAGCAUAGAUAAAUGGGUGCUGAGCCAACUUCAUUACCUGGCCGUACUUGUUCCAGCCCCAGCAAAACACUUUUCUGUCAGCUUCAUGAUACAACAAUAGCAUCAAGAGGAUCAGCCAGUCAGUUGCAAGUAAAUGACAGAAUAAAACGGAAUCAAUAGGCAAUGCAUACCGGUUACCAAGGCACUGUGACGAGCACCACAGGAGAUUAUACUCGCAUUCUCAUUUUCCAAACUCGGUGCAUCCAGUAGUCUCGGAAUAGUCUGGCUCAGAAAUCCAGUAGUGUAAGUUCAAGUAACUAUUUCUACACCUAACAUAUUCGACAGCAUCACGAGAUGGAUUUGCCGAAGAUGGUGAUAUAUGUUAUGUAAACAUACCUCUGCUUGUUCAGCGCCAGUUCCGAGCUGGCCAAACUGAUUCCCACCGAAUGCAUAAACAUCGCCAUCAUCUGAUAUGCAAACAGUAUGCCAUAGCCCUGCAGCUACUGCUGCUAUUCGAAUUCCCAGCAAUGAAGAUACGCAAGUUGGACUCAACUCGUCAUCUGUACUACCUUGUCCACACUGAAGAAAGAUUUUAAUAAAAGAAACAGGCAAUCGAUCCAACAGCAGGAAGCUAAAACCUUUACAUGAAAGAUAAAGAUAGUAGUUUAUCUCUCGUAAGCAUUCACCUCAAAUAAAUAGAAUUACCUGCCCAUAUAGUCCCCAGCCAAAUGCAAGUAUAGCUCCAGCAUCUGUGGAAGCGAGUAACUUUAAAGGGAAAUCAUCACAGGUUUAGUAAAAAAUAUCGAAGUCGUCAUACCCGUGAUAGCAACACUGUGCCGACCUCCGCAAGCUAUUGCCUUAAUAUAAUUUCCGAAAUUUCGAGAACUUUGGCCCUCCGAAAUUGUGCCUCCUCGAGAAGUUGCUGCAGGUCUAUCUCUACCGUGAGAAGAUUCUAUACAGGGAAUAGCAUGAGGAGAAGACACCAUCCGAAUCCUGGAGCCCAAGCCAAGCUGGCCUUCACCUCCAUAACCCCAUCCCCAUACCUGUCCUAUAUCUGAGAGACUUUGAGAAAAUUAGGAUACCUCGACAAUCUUGCUUCUCAUUCAAGAUCUUCCGUAGCUACAAGCUUCACAUACGAUAUAAGUAUUCAUUGUUGUGAAGAAAACUACUGAUUAAAAUUCGGUUGCAGUGUAAGUACACACUUCUUAGGUGAUAUAAAAUUACCUGAAAGAGCCAAAGUGUGGCGACCUCCAGCAGCUACAUUGACAAUCCUCACUCCUGGGUUCAAUGUAACCAAACAAGGAAGUGCAGAUUGUAAAUCGUCCCCGAAAGAUGAACUUUCAGCUGUCUGUUUAGCCGAUAAUCGCCUCCUCUUCUUACUUUCAUCCACCCCUUUAGUAUCGCCACCGGAUUUUGCGACUUGAGGACCAGGGCUCACUGGAGAAAGCAAUUAUCAGCAUCCAUUGCUACCCCAUAGUAAAUCCAAAAGAUUCCAAAGGCUUCUUAUGCUUAUUAUUACCUUGUUCCAACGCUUGCUGACCAUGUCUUUCAGAAAUAUCAUUUUCCGAAACUCUGGGGGUCGGUGGCUCUCCGAAUAUUUUUCCCGAAGGAAUGCACUCUUUCCAUCCCCAAGUAUACACUUCCCCAAUGUCUGUACUCGCGGAAAGUGCAUACAGUGUUAACUGGGGCUAUGGAAACGUGUUCAGAAACCAUAAACUAAGAACAAGAUGAGGAAUAGUACCUGUAGAGGCUACACAAUGAGCCCAGCCUGCUGCAGCUUUUGUGAGUGUAGCACCAGUUGGAAGAGGGAAAGGCUCAGGAAUUUCCUUUGCAAAGAAGAUUGUGAUGGAGAAAGAAACAAUACGGGGAGUUCAGCUCUAGGCAAGAUUAAACAAAGAAAAGUCCCCAAAAAAUGUAUCUCCAAUGAUUGACAAGAUGCAAUCUUACCCCAUGCUUUCCAGAAGUUAAGUAGCUUUGACCAAGAUCGUCCGUUGAACCCCAGGUAAUGAGCUUCCCAGAAUCUGAUUGUAAUAAAAAAAGGAGAAUUGGUUCACCGGAAUAGAAGAGGCAGCUUGGAAUAGAGAGUGAGCCAGUUAGUUACAUGAACAAGGAAAACAACUCAGGACUUCGCAGACAAUAACUCAAUCCUGUAACGCUGAAACAGAGGAAUUUGCACAGCUCCUCCCUGUUAAAAGAUAUGAAUCAACCAGGAUUUGGUCCCGGAGAAACUGUAAACAGACUGAGAGCAACCUAACUACUCAAAAUGCCAGAUUGCCAGCUGAGAGUGGACAGUCUCACUACUCUAGUAACUAUUUCUUUUGAUCCAAAAAGAAAAACUAAAAACUAGGCAUAAGAUUCCUUCUCUCCGCAAAAUCAAUCCCUCACAUCAAAUGCACCAGUACCACCGGGAGCAGGUCCAUCCAAACACCAUAAUCGAAAUCCAGAAGCUCGUAAGAAAAUACGAAUAAAGCCACUGCCAGACUAAAAUGGAUAUGCAAAAGAAUCAAGAAUGUGACCAAGCAAAAAAGGGAAGAAGAUAAUAAUUAGAUUAAAGACGAAUGAGUACCUGAAAUGGCCAUUGCGAAGCCGCAACCACCGCCGCAAACAUCCUUCCAGCCGAAGCCGUCGGCCCUAACAACGACCGGCGACGAAAUCGGCGAUCUCUGAGGCAGAGCUCCAGGGAGGGAGGCGGACAUGAGCACUACCAAUUUUUUGUCUCUCACUGCUGUUGUCCUCCCUCACUGCUGAACCCGCUCUUCCUUCUCCGUUCAUCGCCAAAAAGUGAAGAGGAGAUAAUGGAGAGACAAUAACCAGAAGACGAAGAAAAUGGGGAGGCUUCUCCGGAGACCUAGAGGUUUUUGCCUUUUUUGGGCGGCUUUGGAGAUGACAUUGAAACUUGGAAGCAUAAUAGAAAAAAGGAUUGGAAAUAAUUGGAAACGGACGGCGCGUGGGCGUAUCAAAUUCGGGUGGGAAGGAGAUGCCACAUAGGAUGCUUAUGUGGGAUAAUUGGACAGGUGGCGCUGUUUCCGCCGCGGGAUGCACCGGGGAAUGCUGGCCAGUAGUUUGGAGCAGUUUUUGGAAACAUAAAGAAUUCCUGGGGCAUUUUGGAGAAGUUUCUGGAAACAUAAACACUUCGGGGGCUCUGGAGGGAGAGGCUGGCGUGUAUGUACUGGCAGUGGACCACGUGGUUGUUUGGCUCCCUGAUGCGGGCCCCACUCUGAUGACGCACUUGCUGCCGACGUGCCGUUUGUUGUUAAUUGCUAAAAGUAAUCACUUGAUAAAAUAACUAUUUCUUUCAACUACCUGCAAAAUUAUUUCCUUCAAAAUAACCGCCUCUAUUAAUUGUGUUGUGUCCUCAAGCUGAUUAUCUGUUUAAUGAGAUUCGUACUGUAGAUGUAGAGUUAGAUUGCAAAUUUGUUGAACUCCAAUGGGUCUUUGCCGUUUUAAGAUUGGUAAGCAUCUGCAGAGAUAUCCUUAACAUGGUCAAUCAUUGCAACAUUCGUGAAUGAUACUUUACGUACAGAGAAGUUAACAAUGCAGUCCAUGUUUUUGCUCACUUGAACAUUGAUGAUACAUAUGAGAGGAUUUGAAAUGGUGUAAUCCUAAAUGAAAUUGCUAAUAUUGUAGCAUGUGAAGCCAACGCUAGUGUUGUAGAGUGCAUAGUAGAAGUACACCGUAUUAAGGUGAAAAACACAAGGUGGAUGGUGGGAGUGCACCAUACCAAUGUGCACUACGCAUAGUGAAAAUGCACCAUACCAAAGUUCACGGCGCAUAAUACAUGGUGGAAGUACAAAAUACCAAGGUGCAUUGUACUAAAGUGCAAGGUGCACGGUGCAUAGUGGAAGUGUAUCGUACCAAGGUGCACUGUGCAUAGUGCAUGAUGAAAGUGCAUCAUACCACACUGAAUAAUGCAUUGUGAAUGGUGAAACUGCAUCAUUCUAAGGUGUAAGGUGCAUAGUAAAAGUGCACCAUACCAUACUGAAUAAAUACUCGAGCCAACAACUAAAGUUAAUACAUUGUUGGCUCGAAUAUUUAUUCAAUAUAUUUAUGGACGAUAUGUCAUCAUGAACCAUGAUGUAGGUGAACAUGGAAUGAAAGUACGAGGAAGUAUAACUUUAGUUCAAAACUAGAUGACCUUUCUGUUCGUAGUUAGAAGUUGGGUGAUCGCUACACUUAAGUAGUGACCACAGAAUGAUUUGACCCAAUAAAUAAUAGUAUGUGGGAUUCACUAGAGGUCGUGGAUUAGAUUCAAGGGGCCCAUUGGGCCUUGAGGUUUUCAAGCAAAAUCGAAAGAUGAUUAAAAUCAGUAUCCACGACUCGAAAUCCUUGUCCCUUUAGGAUACGAAAAGUAAAACACAAAUAUAAAACAGCCGAACUCUCUUCCCUCCAUCCGCAGGCAGCAAAUCCGCUUUCCAAUUGAUUUCCAAUCGUCUCGAACGAAGAAGAUGGUAGUCGGAGGCCUUUCUCUUCUCUUUGCGGACGAGUCGCAGAAACCGCGCGGGGAAUACAAAUUCCAGGAGGCUGUCACAACCGCCGGCGAAUGGACGACGGCAGCGGCGGACAGUUGGGAGCGAAGGCCUACUACGGUAGUAUAUAGUUCAAGUUUGAAGAGAAAUUAUAAUGCCAGAAGCGAAUUGGCAAAGGAACAGUUAGAGUGCUGGAUGUUGAGGGAAUAUUGCUGGUUGUUCUGGAAGAUUUAGGACUUGUAAUUCAAGCAAGAUCAUCUCAGUCGUUCGAUUUUCGUGGACUCGGCAUGUAUGUUGUUGAUUGUCGUUUGUCGUUAUAAACAAGUUGGAUUUACUUUAUGAAUGAGAAUGAAUGUCGUACUCCUUCAACUUGAUUGAAUGGUGAUUCCUGCUGAUCACAGAGGAAUAAUACCACUUUCUUUGAUGAUUUGGACCAAUCCAAAUCCUUGCUCGAUCGGAUUGAUAGUAUAGUUGGCAAAAACAAUCCAAUACCGCUCAUUUGAAUGUGUGUGCGGACGCUAGGGUUGUUUACGAAUUGAGUCGAGUUGAAUUUUAACAUGUUUAACCUUGACACGUUAAUUAUUAGCUACUACCCAAAAACUUGUAAGUUUCUACAUAUAUACAUUAUUGGAUGUUAUUUGAGACAAGACACGUGUUAGCUAGCUCUCGAGCAUAUCGAGUCACAUAUCCUGACUCAAACUUGACUUGUUUAAAAUCGAGCCAAGUCUUUAAUGAGUUUUUUUUCCAAGACUAACACCGAGCGCAAGAGGCUUGGUUCAUCAACAGCCCUACCCGUCGCCAAUAGUAUAAUUGGGAUGAAGUAAUCUAGACUACCCCUGCAUAAUCGAUAAUCCUCUAAUUCCAAAGAGAUAGAUAGAAAUCUUAUACAAGUUAGAUCUUUAAACUUGACAAAGUCCCAGACCAUCCUAAAACUUGGCGAAGUUCCAAUCCAACCAGCUAGCCAAAGGCCACUAACCCUUGCAUUGGAUGUCGUAAUUGAAAACUGAAAGAAAUUAGAGUGGAAGUAAAGUAUGCGGAAUUGCAAAUUGAAUAAUAACAUGCAAAUUUGAGAGCUGCUAAAAUGUUGUCCCUCAAUGAAUGAUACAAACUGAUAUCAGCAUCGUCUCAUGUCUCUCAAACAGCAAUACAAUUCAAGAAUUUCUUUCUGGUUCAUUCACUACUACAUAGUUCCAAACUUAGCCAUAGCUCACAAGACUCGACAUCAAACUCCAAAUUCCAAACUCAAGCCAACCUAGUUAGCUACUAGAUAUCAAUCAUAGUAAAGUCAUUCAAUCCUUGUUUGAUUUGGGGAUCUCGCAAUCUUCACAUCUUUAAUAACGUCUCCUGACGCGCCUCAUCAUGUUUGGAUUGGUUGAUUCAGCCACAACACCCUCUUCAUCUGCUUCCCCUGCUGCUGGAGCUGUAUCCAACCCAUAUACGCUGCUCAAACCCCUCUUCCUACCAGAUUGCAUCCCUGAAUUUUCGUCAGCCGAAGCAAAUGUCUUCAGCAACUCACACAGCAAUGAAGGGCAGCUCUCUUCCAGGUGUCUGAAACCUUCAGACUGCAUCACGGCUACAAAACACAGCACCACCAUCGGGAGUCAGAAAUAUCAGAAGCAUCCAAGGUUCUCAAACAUGACUUACCCUGUCAUCUAAAAGCACAUACAAUGUGAGGAGCUUUCAGUAAACUAAGCAGCAUACCGAAAGCCAGUAGAACAAAUGAUGCACAAUAACCGGUUGUGCAAAGAACUUAACUAUCACUUUUAAUCUUCUAUAGCAAUGAUAACGAUCUCUCACUCACUACUUAUCUUCUUUCCUGCACAGAAUUUAAUGAGAAAGAACAAAAGUAAUCAUCUGUAGAACAAACAAACAUAGUUUGUAUACCAUUGCCUGAUUGCCAUAUAUGUUGCCAAUUUCUCUAAUUUAGUUAACACAUUAACACUUCAAAGAGAAAUACAGUAUCAAGGUAAUCUUUUGAUUAGUGAUAGACCUUGAUACUCUAUUUAUCUUUUACGUAUUCUCUAAUUACAAAAAAAAAAGAGUUAGACAGCCUGAAACUUGCAAUGGUGCCUAUGAAGUAUGAACAACACGUACCUCCCAAGUUGGCAGGAUUUGCUGCAAAUUUCAAACAGACAGCUUUGAGUUGUGCGCACUGAUGCUGCUCAGCCAACGCUAGUGUUGUGGCGACUGAUUCGGCAGUGAGCUCCUCGCAUAACUUUGAUUCACAUAACAACUUCAACCGAUCUAAGUUGUAUAGGUCAGCAGCUGCUAACAAGUGUUGUAUCAUGUUGGUUGAUGUGCAAGUGGACAUGGAUGAGGAGCCCGCAAUAUCAUGCACUUCAGGAAGUUUGUCAGUGUAAAUGAAUAAGAGCAUCGCCUACAAAAGGAACAUGUGAAUAGAGGUGUUUAAUGACAAUUUAACAUUUCACAGGAAACACUCAAACAACUGAUUUCAUAAUGUGCCAUAUCUAGUGACAGUGCAAAAGGAAAGAAACGGAAAUACAGUUUAAAAAUAACACAUGGCCGAUGAAAAGACCAAUGAAAAGUUAAAAGAGUUCCAACUCUAGUACUAGAACAGUGCGGUGAGCGAGAAAUAUAGGCAUGAAACUAAAGCUUACCUUGAAGAUUGAGGGAUCAAUAUCAUUCACUACAACUUCAUCCAUAUUCGGAUCUCCAACUAGUCCAAAGAACUGGGCCCUGAAAACAGGUGUUCUUGCAGCAAGGAUCAACUUAUGAGCUCUAAAGGCUUCAUCACCUACACGAAGUGUUACGUCGCAACCAAUUUCAGAUUCCAGGAUUUCCUUUAGACCCUGACCCAUGUUGGAGAGUGGAACAGCGACUGAAUAAUGUUUUGGUCCUUCAAGGCGGGUUUUAACCACUCCAACAGUACAGUUCAUGAUAAGGCAAUCAUCCUUUAAAUAAUCUGAAGUUUCUAAGCUUGUUCUCCGGAAGAAUCGCUUAUAACCCCUGCAACGAAAAAAGUUAAGAAAAUAAGUUAACAAGUAAUAAAGUUAAGCAGAUAAGCUUGAGAACACAUCAUAUAAGCCCAACAACUUGUUGCCGCAAAAACAAAAGGCAAGUGCAUUAGCAACCAAUUACCGGAUCCAAACACAAUCACCAUUCUCCGAGGUACAACAAAUAGAUCACAGCCAGCUGCUAUGUGAAAUAUUCUAAUACUUCAAUAGCAUGAAGAAACAGAAGAAUUGUGCAGCAAAAACAUCUAGCCAUUAAUUCCCAUUAAUCGGCUCCGUGAGCAGCGCACAACUCAUGCUCGUUGCUACUUGAAGCCAUUAUUAUCAUAAAGAACCAACAAACAAAGCAUCCAUGAUAUUUGCAUAAAACCAAUCAGAUCUCUCAAUAGUAAGCGUACGAGGUGAAAAUGAAUGUCUAUAAGAAUUAACACCAUAUAACACAUUGAUCAAAGGGGCAAUGCGUUCAGCACCAUCCAAGGCACCAAAAAGAUAAAGUUGGAGUAAACAAUGACAUUACCGCAUGCUUAAACGUAAUCAAAGCAAAUGAAUGUCUAUAUGAUUUAACACCAUCUAAGACGUUGCUCCCUUCUGACAAUGAAGAAUUGAAUAAAACCUAGAAACAUCUUAAACAAAAGCAAAGAAGAGAAACCACAUUACCACAUGCUCCCUUUGUACUUCAAACUGUAAGGCCCGCUCUCCAGAGCACGAUCGAAGUGGCUAUGCACCUUGUGCUUCCCUUUCCCACUCUGAUCCAGUAACGUCAGCUCAAACAACGCCCUCACGUCAGUACCAUCGCUGGCCAAAGCAAUGAAGACAGAAACGUAUAUGGAGCUAUCCUCGGGGUUUUUCCCAUCCGGAUAGAAGUAGAUCGCCCAGUCAUAACCACCCACCGUAAAAAUAUCACUGGAAAUGCACUUCCCCGCCCCCAUACCUUUAGCCAAAGAGUACCCCUUUAUUGUAAACUGAUGCGACCCAUUCACCGUCUCGUUCACCGACUUUGAACACGACGGAGGCUCCUCCUCCACCUCCGACUUCCAUUCCAAAUUUUCAGCCAUUAUCAGACAAGCGAGACAACUUUCUUCCGCCGCGAUUCUAAACAGUUAACACCAAUACCACGCCCUCCUCCAACUCGAAGUAUUUACUCUGAAUUGAAGGAACGACAGAGACAAGUUAUCCGAAACUUACUAGAGUUUUCUAGAUCGUAUGCAAACCCUAGAAACGAACAAAAGACGCGAAAUCGGGAACCGGAAUGGAAAUUGAACGGAAACCUAGAAUCAAGGCGACCAAGCGUCAGAGGCUUGAGAGAGAUGUAGAUCGGAGGAUGACACAGGAGAAGAAAUUCAACGGCCGGAACGUCGGCGACGGGGAGGAAAGUUGGGAUUUCGCAAACAACAAAUGGAAAAAAAGGAGUCGUGUGGGUUUAUAAGCGGCUCCGUUGGAUUCUCAGUAUGACGUUUCGGUUUGAUUUCUUUUUGGUUAAAAUAUUAUUAUAUUUAAAAUAAAUACGAAAAGUUGAUGUCGAUAACACAAUGCCGUUAAUAGUAACGUCAAUAGUAUCAUCCUUUGCUUGGCAAAUGGCAAUUGCAAUUUUAGUUCGAGGUAGCAUGACACACAUACACAUCAAUGUCAUGUAAAAUAGUGGACUUGACAUCUACUCGUAUUUAUAUUUUCAUAUUGAUGAUAAAUAAAAUCGCUAAUAUUAAUUUCAAGUGCAACGUGGACACUGUUGUUCGUCCGCAUGCCGGUUAUGUUGCAUGGGGAUGGAUGGUGCGUGGUUACAAGCGUUUUGCUCCCAAAUUCGGCAAGGGAUCCCGCCGGUCAAAGGGUGUGAACCUGAAGGGCUCCUCGCGGUUUUAAGGUGGUGUGUAGGUGCAGGGUAUACAGAAAUGUAGUUCGAGAUGAACACAGAGUUUAUUGUGCAGGGUCUACAGAAGCUUGAUGAGGACGAGACGGAGUUCGGUGAUAUUUUGCGCAAGUGUAAAUUGCUUUAAAGUAAACGGGUUGCAAGAUUGUAUGAUAAGAGUUUAGACGAUCUUCUCGAGAACUUGAUUCGCCGUCUUGAUUACUUCGCCGAUCCCGAGCUCCUUCAAGUCGAUGCCUUUUCGUCGCUCUCGAAUCUCUGAAAUUCUCUCUAAAUUUCGUCCAAAAAGUUCUGUGAAUUAUGAGAGAGAGCUGGGCUUAUAUAGAGAAUGAUUCCUUAAUCCUGACAGACUAGCAAAAGUGUGUUGUGCACGGACCAAAAGUGUGCCAAUUUAUAGCGCACUUUUGGUCUAAUUUACAGAGACCUCUGAGAUAAAAAAUUGUAGACAAUUGAACUAUCUUUCUAACGCCGCUGGCGUUGCAUCAAUUGAACUUCUGAGCUAGGAGAUAUGUCCAAAAUAAGAAACUACAAUGUUUUCCGACAAAGUCGAAAUCCAAGCUCCUUGAAGAUUCAAAAUGCUUCCCAUUGCUUGUCCUAGACUAUCCACACACACCGUAUCGCUUCGAUUAAUGUCUCAAUAUCGUUAUGUACCUGAAAUCUAUCAAAAACACUGCAACACAACAUCAAAUGGACCCCGAACGAGUCCGAGACACUAAAUCGAGAUAGAUGCUAGAAAUGCACGAAACAUCCUAAACUUCUACCCAAAACUAUACGAAUGUGCAUGAAAUAUCGCUUAAAUGAAGAUGAUGAACAUGACAAAUCGAGUGUCAUCAUAUCUCUAAUGUGAACUCCUAAGAAGGAAGGUGGUCUUGGGUUUCGGGACUUCAGACUGUUCAACAUUGCCCUCCUUGCUAAGGAAGGUUGGAGACUGAUUAAUACUCCGGAAAGCUACAUGGGCGGUUUUGCUGCGUAGCCUCUCCUUUAGCAAUGGAAGCUUUCUCUCUGCUUCGAAGGGACGACGCAGAUCUUGGAUUUGGGCGAGCUUAUGUGAUGCUCGUCGAGCUCUUGAAUUGGGAACGGUCAGGGUGGUCGGCUCUGGUGACCUCACGGACAUCGUUUCUGACCCUUGGGUUCCGGGUCUCCCCAGCUUCAUAUUACACUCCUCUGCUCAUUCUCUCUCGCUUGUCAGCUACAUUAUUGAUCCGAUUCGGCGUUCCUGGAAGAGCGAGGUGCUUGAGGAGUUUUGCACGCAAGAUGAAUGUGAGGCUAUCUAGCGUAUUCGGAUUGGCCCGGAUGAUUUUGACGACUUCUGGGCGUGGAGUUUCGAUAAGACUAGGCGGUUCUCUGUUCGUUCGGCGUAUCACUCGGCCCGGGUUGUCGAAGAUGAUGACUUCAUCAACCCGUCAGACAGUCAACGAGAUAAUUGGAGGUGGCUGUGGAGUCUUUCCAACCCUCCUAAAAUCAAGUUUUUCAUGUGGAGGAUUAUUGUCGAUGCAGUGGCUACCCGUACCAAUCUCCGCCAUCGUCAUUGUGUUGCAUCUGCUUUGUGACCAGGAAGAGUCUAUUUCUCAUUGCUUAUUUGUGCGUGAUCAUGCGAGGCUAACCUGGCAGCUCUUCCCCACGCUGCGGGGCCCCUCUAGCCUUGUUGUGGCUGAUUGGUUCUUUGGUUUCAGGUCUCUUGGAGGCAACAGUAAGGCGACUGCCGCGGGGCUGUGUGCUGGUAGAUCUGGAAGGCUCGAAACGUAAGUAUCUUCCAAAAUAUGCUCCCUAACGCUAAUACCACAGCUCAAUGGAGCUCUAAGGAUUUACAAUAAUGGAGGAUUGCUUGGAAGCCUCCGAGUUCUUCACCACCGAUUCACUCUCAUCCUCCCCAUCCUAUUCCAUACCGCCCUGUAAUCCCCACGGAUGAUUCAUUGUGAUGGAGCAUUUUUACAUGACUCCCUUACGGCGACUUAUGGAAUCGUUAUUUCGGAUGUCAUGGUUUUGUCUACGAUGGUAGAGUGGGCUCCUCGUAUGUUGCUUCCCCGGUUGCGGCCGAAGCCAAAGCGAUUCAGGUAGCGGUUGAGUAUGCAGCGCAACACGACAGACUAUCCCUUUUGUUCUCGGACUGUUAGGUUUUGGUCGACAUAGUCAAAGGCGAGUCCAAACCCUGGCCCUGGGAUUUUACGUCGACGAUUGCUAGCAUUCGGAGCGUGCUCCUUUGUCUCCAGGGGAUCGUUAUUCAAUUCUCCCCUCGAAAACAGAACGGGCGAGCCGAUUGGGCUGUUGAAGAAUUUAUUCAUGGUAGAUUGCCUAAUGAGUGGAUUGGUUUGGCAAACUCAAUCCCCAGUGUCCUAUUAAUUGUUAUGGUUGCUUCCCUGACUGGAGAAGUUUAAUUUAUUGACUGUUUUUCUAAAAAAUACGGAGAUUUAGCGUGAUAAUUGGAGUGACUUAGUUUGCUAGUGGAUUCAUUACUUUAAUACAAGUGAUCAUUUUGGUAAUAAGUAACAAGUUCAAUGAUCUCAAACUUCGCUUCUCCACGGAACAAUUUCCUGACAGAAAACCGAUCUGCUCGAUUAUUUACUCCUACUACCGUCAUAUCCAUAGAUCGCCUCACUCCACUCGUCCUUCUUCAGCUCCAGCACCGUCGCCAACCUUCUGCAAACCCAAUGCAUCAUUCUUUCAUAACAAAAGGCUUCAAAAAUCAGCUCUAGAUCUUCGAUCCCACGAAGCCACCGACAAUGAAAUCGUCGGAUAUCGUGAAGACGCCACUCGCUCUCAAGAUCGCCGGAUUCACUCUGAUAACACUCUCCUUUUUCUACUUGGGCAAGCACUGGAGCUCCAAUGGAAGCUUCCAGCAGCUCGUUUUCUUCUCUUCUUCACCAGCAACAGCCUCUGUCGGUGUAUCUCCGAACCAGAGGAAGCCGUUUAAUGUCACUGCUUUGAUCAGCCAAACCGACACGGUAUCGGAACCCCGACCUCCCCAUAUUCCUGCCAGUGCUUCGGCGGGGGAAUCGGAUAAGAGGUUUGGGGUUGUUGAUGGGGAUGGGAAGAUGAGCGAUGAAUUUGAAGUCGGGGAGGUAGUAGAUCCGGAAGUUGUGGAGAAUUGGGGGAAUGAGACGGGGAUUGAAACUGAAGGUGGUAAGGAAUCUAGAGUUAGGAUCAAAAGAUUCCAGCUGUGUGAUGAGAGCAUGAGAGAGCAUAUUCCUUGUUUGGACAAUGUCGAGACGAUCAAGCGAUUGAAAUCGACGGAGAAAGGGGAGAGAUUCGAGAGGCAUUGCCCUGCCAGAGGAAAAGGUUUGAAUUGUUUGGUUCCGCCGCCUAAUGGAUAUCGGCAACCAAUCCCAUGGCCACGGAGUCGUGAUGAGGUAUUGUGAACUGAGAAUUGGAGCUAAAGAUGCUAUCUUUGAGCUGUUUUUUUAUUGGUCUUUGAUUGCAUUUCUUUUCGUUUCUAGGUGUGGUUUUCGAAUGUACCCCAUACUCGUUUGGUUGAAGACAAAGGAGGUCAGAACUGGAUUUCCAAAGACAACGACAAGUUCAAGUUCCCUGGUGGUGGGACACAGUUCAUCCAUGGCGCAGAUCAAUACCUGGAUCAGAUUUCUAAGGUUUGUUAAGCUGUUCUUUCAUUGUCACAAAUUCGAAGUAUAUAACAUACUGAGCCUUUAACUUUGUCAUUUUGUGCAUAGAUGGUCCCUGAUAUUGCUUUUGGUAACCGGACAAGGGUAGUUCUGGACGUUGGAUGUGGUGUAGCCAGUUUCGGUGCGUAUCUACUAUCACGGGACGUCUUACCUUUGUCAAUAGCUCCCAAAGACGUUCAUGAGAACCAGAUUCAGUUUGCUCUCGAACGUGGUGUCCCUGCUAUGGUGGCUGCAUUUGCCACUCAUCGGUUGAUGUAUCCAAGUCAGGCAUUUGAAAUAAUCCAUUGCUCAAGAUGUAGAAUCAACUGGACUCGUGAUGGUAUGUCUUAUAUCCUUGAUGCAACAGUUAGGAAAAGAAAGAGGCCAUUAGUAUGUAUUCCUUGUCAAUCUUAGUCUAGGACUUUUAGCAGUAUUGGCUCUUGCUUUUCUGACAUUUCAUAGUUAUUUUUUCUCCGGUCAAAAACAUUUAUUUUCCUGGAAACUUAUGUUGCAGAGUUCAGGGUCAUGAUUAUAUUUUUGCCCCAGUGUAUAAUUUCACUCGAAUGCUUUCAUUAGUUUCAGUAUCAUAGAUCGAUCUCAUGGAAAUUGAAUAUUCACCCAAUAGAUUCGCGUGUUUAUUAUUUCUGAUGGUGCCUUGUUCUUUUUCAAGAUGGAAUAUUGCUACUUGAGGUCAACAGGAUAAUGCGAGCUGGAGGAUACUUUGCUUGGGCAGCCCAGCCGGUCUACAAGCACGAGCCGGCACUGGAGGAACAGUGGGAAGGUACUAUGAAAGCAGUGCUUUGAAAGCUUACAUUCUUAAGUAAAUUCAUGCCCAGCGAAAUUGGAUAAUAUGUUAUAGUCAGGUUUUGCCUUCAUUCUGAAAUGUGUAGUUUUUUGAUAUCAUUUGUGUAUUACUCUUCCUCUAGAGAUGCUUAACCUCACAACUCGACUUUGCUGGGAACUCGUUAAGAAAGAGGGGUACAUCGCAAUCUGGCAGAAACCCAAGAACAACAGCUGCUACUUACGCCGAGAUGUUGGAAUCGGUCCUCCAUUGUGUGAACCAGAUGACGAUCCUGAUAAUAUUUGGUAUAUUUCUUUCUGCCUUCUAUCUUCACCAAAAUCUUGCUCCAAUAUUUCGCUAGUUUGUACUUACGAAACUUGUGUUAGGUACGCUGAUUUGAAAGCAUGCAUUACUCGAAUCCCCGAGAACGGAUAUGGAGCAAAUCUCACUGCAUGGCCUGCUCGUCUACAUACCCCUCCUGAUAGACUUCAGAGUAUACAAAUGGAUGCUUACAUCUCCAGGAAAGAGCUUUUCAAUGCUGAAUCGAAAUAUUGGUCUGAAAUUAUAGCCGGCUAUGUCCGUGCCUGGCAUUGGAAGCAGCUUAAACUUAGAAACGUCCUGGAUAUGAAAGCUGGUUUUGGAGGGUAUCCUAUCUACACUCGUCACUCAAUUUUAUUUGCAGUUUAUUGUACUUUAUGAACUAAGCUGAUGUUAUUCUAACGGUUUAUGUAGAUUUUCUGCUGCUCUAAUUGAUCAGGGAUUCAAUAGCUGGGUUCUAAAUGUAGUUCCCGUUAGUGGGCCAAACACGCUUCCUGUCAUAUAUGAUCGUGGACUGAUUGGAGUCAUGCAUGAUUGGUACUUUCCAAUCUCUCAUUGAUGGUUUUUUGCUUCUUAUUCUGUCUAAUCCAUGUGAUAUUUUUUCUAUCAACUUUGGUUAAUUGAGCUCUCUAUGCUGCAUACUAUCUACAGGUGUGAGCCGUUUGAUACAUAUCCAAGAACCUAUGAUCUAUUGCAUGCUUCUGGGCUUUUUACUGUUGAAAGGAAAAGGUGACACUUUUAUUCUACGGCGGUUUAGUUUUUCUCUAUUUCCCAACUAAAACAAAGAUUUUUAUGUCGUCAGGUGUAACAUGUCGACAAUUAUGAUCGAGAUGGAUCGGAUACUCAGACCUGGCGGUCGAGCAUACAUCCGUGAUACCCUUAACGUCAUGGAGAGCAUACAUCCGUGAUACCCUUAACGUCAUGGAAGAACUUCAAAAUAUCGCCAACGCCAUGGGUUGGCAUUCAGCCUUACACGACACAUCCGAGGGUCCUCAUGCUAGUUACAGGGUCUUGGUCUGCGACAAACGACUUUUACGUUCUUGAAAAAACUCAGUUGUCUGCAACUUCUCAGGAAACAGCAGAGAUCAUGCAUAUAUGCUGAUCUGUUGCAAAGAGUUUUGGCACUCUAAUGUGGCAGGAGAAAAGAUUGUAGCUGGUGCUACUGUCCUAUGCAGCGACGACCGUGCAACACUAUAAGCACUAACUCAAGAAAUCAAGUUGGAGAAGUCCGAAAGAAAGAACAGUAGUCGUUUAAUUUGUACGUAAACUGAAGUUGUAUAUUUGAAGUUAGCUGUUGGAACUUGUAAACUCUCAUUCUUUCAUUCACGUUGUAUUUGUUGGAUUUUUUGUCUGAUUCAAUAUAAGUGCAAGUUCUGCUGCCAAUUAGAUCAAACUACCCUUAGCAUAGCGGCUUUAAUAACUUUUAUUUUUUUCCUGUGUACACUACGUAUAUCUUUUUUUUUCCGAAAUAGCUCAUUGUGGGGAUAAAAAGACAGAAGCACACACCCAAAGAGAAAAUUACCGGCAACAUUCCCGAAUGAUAUUUAAGAGCCUUGCAUGCCACACAGUGUACGGCUCUGUUACCUAACCCGAAUAGCCUGGAGUUGACCCCUGACUAGUCGUGAGUAGCUGACGGAUCCCCUGGAUGAUAGUCUCUAAUGACCAAAUUGGAAUAGCCGGCACAGAUAUGGCCGCUGUGACGUGUCUACUCCGAUAUCUACCUAAUCGAAAAACUGUCCGAAGAUAAAUCAUGAAGACUUGUUGUAGAGAAAAACAAAGUCCCGAAAAUUACUCCCCAAAUAAUAACAACACCCGAUGUAAAGAGUCCCCUGCAAAAAAUCAAUCCAAAACACAACAAACAAAUACUAUCCAACAUCCUAAUAAUUGAAAAAAAGAUGAACAUUCAUCACAAGUCGCAAGAGCAAUAUAAAAAACGCAGGAACCCCUCCAAGCGUCAACUAAUUGAACAGUCAUCAAGGAAAACAUCAUGGGAAGGGUUGGCAACAGGGUCAAAGAAACUGGGGAAACAAACACACAAGGACAAGAAGUCAUACAGGUGAGAUAAAAGAACACAACAAGAGACAACAAACUCACUAGUCACCAGCAAGAAAACGAACAAACAAGGAAAACAAACGAAACUAAAAAGACUAAAUGUUAGAAGCAAGCAAAACCAAAUGAAAAGGAUUGAACCUUAAGCACAGCAACCCUGCUAAUCAGAAGUUAGUAAGAACAGUAAAGACGAACCAAAAAUGCUAUAUAAUUACAGAGGAGGGUAGAAGAAAGUACAACUCCCCUUGGGACGGGUAUUCGAAAGAUGUCAUCAUCUCGUGUAUCCACCGCACCACCGAGCCUCGUUGGAAUGCCAACAAAUGGCGUCUUGGCAAGUUGGCAUUCCUCACCGCAGAGAAGUUCAUCAAGGACCCCAUCAUAACUGGCACCGUCAACAUGGACUGCUCGCCCUCGGUUCGUCCCUCCAUCUCCGGCAAGCCCAAACGGGAACGGCCAACCUUCGUGGCAGAGCAGGUGGUAGAGGAGGAGAAGGGACCAUUGCUCGAAGGAACCACGGCGGCAAGGCAGACGGAGGCAGUUACCAAAGAAUAACCGUCGCAGAGCAUGGAGAUUUUAUAAUACGUGUAUCCUGUAUUAAAAAAUGCACAUGAACGAGAGGUCAGGUGCCAUCUGGACGGACUUCCAGGCUCGAAAGGCCCCAUCAUAAUUGGGCCCCACAUCUACGGCAGGUAAGCCCACUUGGUCCUUAUAUCCAAAUAGCCCAGUCGUAGUUGCACGAUAACGAUGUUACCUAAUUAUGUGCUGGAACCAACCUUUCAACCAAAAGAAAACACAGCUCAUCUUUUACAGUACGGAUUGUCUGUCACGAGCGGCUCAACUCUCACGCCGUGCUUCAUCUUUACACCGUUUGUUAGAAAUUCGAGCGGGUCUCGAAUGUAACAGAUUAUCUUACUAGUAUAUAUAGAAACCCGUAGACAAUACGAUAUACGCAUGCUUAUACUCAUUAUACAGGUGUAGGUGGUAGUAGGAAUUUCGCAUGUUGACACCAAAUUGUGGCGGGAUUCAUUUGAUUGAUGACCUCAAUUCGCUACCCAUGGCCUUAGAGAUACCCUCUAACAACUUGGGCAUUCAUGCAACAAUGCUUCCAUAGCAUAGUGGUAGUGCGUUCCCUUCGUAAGGGAAAGGUCGUGAGUUCGAUCCUCACUGGGAGCUUACUUUUAUAUCCCCUAAAAUUAGACGGUAAGUAGUGAGAAACCCUAACGGAAAUUUUAUAUUGUUGGAAUAUACGAACUAAUUAAACACUAUCUACCGUCUUUGAACAAAUUUUCCAGCUCAUAUUUCCCAUCUACCAAAUGACCCAAUCCUAUACCAUUUCACUUUCACAAAUCUUCUUCUUUUGUUUAGUUUUGAACUUUGAGCUCUCCUGCUUUCGUCUUGUGCCUUUGGAAUUACCAAACACACACUAAUAAAUGCCUUGUUAUCUUGUAAGUAACCAACUGUUGGAGAAAUUGAGAGUGAUUGUUUUAUUCUUGAAGCGACCGGUUGACAGUCUGAUUGUGCGUAAUUGAGGCAGUGCUACGGACGUCUUAAAUUGAGUGACAUACUCUGCAACUCAGCCAGAUCAAUAACCUUUUGAUAUUUUCGUGUUCGGUUUUGAGGAUCGAAUUAUACAUUCAUAAGCAUGGUUACAUCACCAAGUUUCCUAAGAAAACAAAGGAAAUCACAGUAGUCUGGGUACUGAAGAUUGGUACCCAAAAAUAUCAGACCUUGCCGCAAAAGAAUCUGUGACGAUAAAAAAAAAAAGUAAGAUGCCGUCCAUCCCUCCGUCAAGUCCACAUCUAAAAAUCUAACCAAAUCUGCCAGAUUAUGUAUUGGGGAAAUUCCAAGUCUCCCCCAUCUUCCAGAUACGUGGCAUCCCCUAAUUGAUUCCUGGGUUCCCACCCUAUCCCUCCACGUCUCUUCAAUUCAUCGGGGAAUCAUCAACCCAACACCAACACAAACACAAACACACAUCAUCAUUAAUAAUUCAAACCGACCGUGGUUUCCAGCUUACCCCACCACCCACCACCACCUGUAACUCUUAACCCAAUCCAUAUCAUUAUUAUUAUUUUUAUUAUUAUUAGGUCAUCCAAUUCUUUCUCUCCCCUUUUUACCCCUCCCUUCCCACCAAUCCACACCAUUUUUUUGCUUAAACAAGAAUGAUAAAUUAAAUUAGGCUCUAACUCAUACUCAGACGACAUGUGGCCAACUUCUGACCAGUUUAAGACACGACCAUGUCUUCUUGAUUACGACCUUAAACCCACAUCAUUAACCUACUUAAUUAUAAUUACAACUACAUUAAACAACUCCUCCCUAUGUUGCUCUCAUGAUAUUAAUAUUUUCCAGUCUUAUAAUAUUACCGACCUUUCGUCACAGCAUCCGUUUAAUAUUCCCAGAAGAUUAUUUUAAUUAAAGCUUUAAUUAAUUACUAUGGAAGAUGCCGCAGAGAUAAUAAGCUUUGCUAAUCACAACAUAAAGAAAGCAAGAAAACCAAGAUUCCAUUAGUAAUAAUCAGAACAUGAAUUUACGAUUCUUUGAAUCGAGAAAUUGAACUUCUUUCAACAAUUUCCCCUUGGAUUGCUACGCAUUAUCGCCCAAUUCCAAACUCCCGGGAAAAAAACAACCCCAUUUCUAAUUCAAAUCUUAAACUGCUGUAAAUUUCGCUUAUAUGUACGCCUUUUUUCGAAUUAUGUAAAUUUUUUGUAUGCUUAAUUAGAAAUCCAAUUAAGAUUUCGUCGUCGGAUCUGUUGUUGAUGAUGAUUUCCGUCUUAAAUCGACGACGACCACGCUGACGUUGUCGCUACUGUGUCUGGCGAGCGCCAGCUUCGUUAGUAGCAUAGAAGCGUCGAAGCAGGCCUUGUCGGAGCCACUCCCCACGGCGGCGUCCACCCCGUCGGAACCCAUAGGCGACGAGGACUUUUGACCGGCGAGGCACAUCUUGACCACUCCGCAUGCGGUUUCGUUCGAGACAACGUCCCACAGGCCGUCGCUGGCGAGGAUUAAACACUCCUCGUCGCCUGUCCUCUCCGUUAUUGUUACCUCCGGCUCCGAAAUCACGUACGGUUUCAAGUAGUUGUCCCCUGUAAUUGAACAUCAAUUGGAUGAAUAUCGAUUCAGUGAACUAUAACCCUAUGCGGAUCGGAUCUAACUAGACUAGACUGAUUGGGUAACGAUGGCUUCGUGUUCUUACCGAUUGCUCUGGACAUAGCUAGAACUCCGAGGACUCUCGCCCCGUCCCAGUAUAUCACACGGCCGCCGGCAGCUUCGAUCCGGAGCAACUCGUCGGGCCGGUCAGGCUAAAAACAAAUAAGGACAAAUGAAAAUAUCAGUAACAGAAUUCGCAACUCACGGGAAAACUUACAGAUCCACACCAAUAAUAAAACGAGCGUGAGGGAAACGCGCGCAACGGCUUCUUUAUUUCCGGUUACCUUAUGAUCAGACGAGAGUGGGAUGGCCACGCCGUUACGGCAGAGGACGGCACGGGAAUCACCACAGUUGGAAACGACGAUCUUAUCCGGAGUCACCACAGCUGCAACUGCCGUGGAUCCAACAGCGUCGCACUGCGGCGUUUGGAGCUCGCAGCGGCAAGUGGAAGCCUUAGCUGCUUCCUCGCUCCAAACUCCAACCUCUCCGUCCAUUGUCGCGAAGCUUCGUCCCAUGGUUUCCUUCCAUUCGAUUGGAUCCUUCUUCUCGUAACUCCUGAUUUCUUCUUCCAAUAUCUCAUGUAACCGAUCCUUACACUUCAUGGCCACCUAGAAAGGAAAUCCAACGGAAAAUCAUCAAUCGUCUGAUGAGCAAAAGCAAAAUCAGAACAGCUUAAAUCUAAAAAUGUAGAAAUAAUUAAACUCAUACAUGAGAGCAACCGUGACCGUCGAACACGCCGAAAAAAGAUGUGCCUUCCCGCGGGCCGAAUGAUGUCUGUACGGAAACGGCAUCUUCCAUAUCCCUCCUCCUCCCACAAACGGAGGUAAAGCCGAAUUUCGCGGAUGGACCUUCACUAUCGUGCUCCAAUUUCAGAUCGGAAUAUUCAUUUAUAACAGAUUUCGGAGCAGCGGAUUCGUCGUCUCUUUUCAAAUCACUGGAAUUCUCGACUGCAUUCAGGCAAUCCCGGGAGCUACUCGGGGCAGCAGCAGAGUGAACGAGCUUACGCUGUUUCCUGCUGAUUCCAUCGGAAGAAAAGGAAGGCGCGGCCACAUCAAGAGAGAUCGAGAACUGACGGUGCUCCAAUCGCCUCCGGCGAGAAACUUUGGAGGGUGGCCGGCCCCCCGCCCGAGGCCACUCCAUCCACAGUCGCAGCAACCUCAGUCUCACCAACAACUCCACAACACAUCCCGGCCAUGUUCAGACAACUCGAUUAACCAAGAAAGAAUAAGAAUCAAACAGAUCGGAGAAACGAGGUUAAAAUAUUUCUUGAUUUCGCUUCAAUGGAACAAGAGAGAUAAAAGAAAUGAAUUCUUUCUGAAUGAAAGGAAGAGGAAGGAGGGCUAAUAAAAUGGUGGGGAAGAAGAAGAGGAGCUUUGUGGUGGUGGGGGUCGCACUGAAAUAUUUACGGGCAGGGCUGCCCGUCACCGUCUCGGGCAGAAACGGGGGUGGCGGAGAUCCGACAUGGCCAGUUGGAAUGACGUUGAUCAAUAUUGAAUACUUUGCUGAAUAAAAUAUAUAUUUAAUAAUUACGAUCUCCGUCCGUCCAUCUGUCUCUCUCCUCACCAGAAUUCACCACGUGCAUAAGUCUUUCGGGAAGGUGGAUACGUGGCCCAAUAGAAUUGCAACAGCGUCUGGUGGACUCAUCAACCCUUUUCUGACACGCAUGUGGUGCUGUACUAAGCGGAGUCUGCGGCAAUAUUAUAUAUGUAAUCCUUUAUAUUUUUCGUCUUUAAUUAUCAUAUAUAUAUAUAUUGAGGAAGAUAUCACCACGUGGCAGGGUAGUCCAAGGCGAGAUUUUGUUCCAUUUCGUCUCCCCCCCACGCGCAUUGGAGUGUGGCGUACUCGCUGGAAAUUUACAUUGCCUGCCUAAUUUUGUCAUUGGUUAAAUAACGGAUAUUUCUACUAAAUCGUUUACCACUUUUAUAAUUCUCUAAGUUUGUUGGAAAAUGUCUCGUUGAUUUCAAAACGAUCCAUCGACAAACAUCAAAUCAACUAAUUUUCUAGAUUAUCCGUUAGAUCGAAGACGACUCAAAACGAUGAAUUGUAAUUCUAGAUUGAAACGUAAUAUAAACAAUAAUUUUUGCGUAGAUGAUUUGAACUGGAUAAUUAACUGAAUAUUGAUGAACAAAACGGGGUGGGGGUUAAGAGAGUUAGGCAGACAGAAGCUAAGUCCCUAUCAACCAAGUAUGGAAUUGCCAGGCAGAGGAAGUUGAGUGAUGUGUUUGUGUGUUGGCUGUUGUUUAACAGCUGUUGCCCAUUUAGACCCAAACUUACCAUCAUAAUCUAUCCACCUGUCAUACAUAUACAUGGUACGUGUUAGAUUUUGGGAUGAGAGGAGCAAUUUUGCAAGGGAAAGGCGGAUUCCUCAAAUAGUCACAAAAAUCAUCCUUCACUCACGGCUCGCCGUUGAAAGCUUGCUCUGCAAUACAAAUGGCGGUUCAGCUAGUUAUUCUUGGGACGAUCACCGCACACACCAGCGCUAUUAUGAGCAACUGGCUUGCAUGUUACUGGUUUCAUCGGCAGGCAUGCACCAUUCUGCGAUUCAAUGAACUUAUGAAUCUAUAUAUAUGAAUAAAAAAAUGGCCUGGAAUAUAAUAAUUUAAAAGAUAGACAAUUUUCUUUAAAACAAAACAUAGAUUAUUAUGUGAAAAGAUGGUGAUAAGAUAACUUUUUUUAAAAUUACGAACAGAUGCACAGCACGAGUGGACUAUACUCUCAAGCUUGCAACUUGACACUAAGCUAAGAACACAACUUGCACAUAGAAUUCAAUGAAAAUUCCUUUUAAAAUAUCUCGAAAAGAAAAACUGAGUUUACGAUUUUUUGUGUGUGGAAGUAUCUCAAAACUCUGUUUUGCUUAAAGAAAAAGGCGGCUUCAUGUCCAUCACGGUCAUCAAUAGUUGUUACUUGCCAGUAAUGUAGGGUCACCCAUGUUUGAAAAAUAUGCAUAUCACUAACCUAUUUUAAUUAUUUCGUAAAUUAUCUGUUUAACAUUAAAUUGAUAAAUCAUUACAUCAUUAUAUAUGUUGAUAUUACCUUAUGUUUAUCAUGUCAACAUUAUACAUCUAAUCCAUUUAUAACCAUCCAAACAGGUCACUGUUUUUAUUUCGAAACUUGGAACAUGCUUAAAAUGAUUGUGGACCAACCAACUUAACAUUUCUUUCUAAAGAGUACUUAUCAUACUUAAAAGAGUAUGCAAGGUAACCGACCAACAUAUAUAACCGUUAAUUAUUUAUAAAAGACUCGAAUAUGCUCAAAACAACCGAGUUAUAGAAUUUUGUCAUAAUAGGUGACAUGACAUGGAUAAUGUGGACAUAAAUGAAAAAUUAACAUGACAAUAUAAUGAAUUUUUUAAAUGAAGGAUUUUCAAAAUGACCAUAUUACUACUUUUUAUAGAUCGAUUACCGUUUUGUUCGAAACGCGAUAAGUUCAUGAUCACAACUGAUAUUAAGCCAGAAAAUGGCAUUCUUUCAUAUGAACCCAGUACUGGAGCAGUUGCAACUUCCAGAAAAAUAAUAAUAACUGUGAAAAUAUCUCUGUUAUGGGCCCAAGUAUUACGCAAUUGAAAUGAAUGUGGAAAGGAGAAACAUAGCCUAGCUAGGGAUAUUUUGGUACAAAGAACAAGUACGUUGAAACUGGAAAAUUAUUAUAAAUUUGCAGAAGGAUGAGCUUCAAGUUUGAAGGAAGCAUUGAAUCUGACUCGAUCCAAUGAGGUCAUCCUCAUAAAAAGGUCCUUGUUAGCAGCAACUUGCCCCUCUUGUGCGUCUGUGUACUAAUUUUUACCCCCGUGGCAUCCUCCUAUGAAUUCCAUUUCCCAAUAGGAAAAGAAUCGUAUUCUAGUUAAUAGUCUGAGUUGUGUACAUGUGUGCUCAAGCUCAGAGCAAGGUGGUCUGUGUGGGUUCUUUAUGAUUGAAGCAAGGGGAUUCCCUCUUUCCCAAAACUGGUUGUUUUUAGCUAUGAGAUUUCACAGUGCUUUAGCCUAUUACAUUACUACCGUUUCGUCCUAGAUGUGAAACAAUUGAACAAAUGUUUUCUUACAGGACUGGCCAUGCAAGGUUCCAUUCAGUUGAUUACAACCAUACGCCCUGUGGAAGCCAUACGCGUAGACAAAUCCUGACCUUCAUCACCAACGAUCCACAACGACACGUGAUGAACAAAAUCAUGCCAUCAUAAGGCUUUAUAGUCACUGCAUUUAAGACAUUUGAUCACUCAUCCAGACUACAUAUACGCCUACAACUAGUCAUAUCCCAAAAAGGACAUACGCUCAUAGUAAUUUAUCUGAUCUCAUCUCUUCCAUGUAUGUUUAACCCUCUCAUACUCUCUGUUGCUACUCUCUCUUGUCCGUCUUGCAAGAGACCGUCCAACGAAGACUCCUAUAUAUACUUCUUGAUCAAGGAAGACCGCUCUCACACACAUCUACCCACAAAUGACCCUCCCAACCACACCAUUGAUCCAACCGGUCCGUCGGAAGGAACAGUUAGACAAGCUGAAGUUUUGGGUUUUAAGUUUGUAGGUUACUUGGGGUUCCUAAGAGAAUCAAGGUUGCAGCAAAAGUAAAACAAUAUAUGCAGGAAAUUUGAGGCUUUCAGAUGACAUAUUUGCCUGCUUGUUAAUCAUGGGUUCCGGUUAGUUAGACGCCCUUAAUGAAUGAUCACAAAUAUAUAAUAAUUCACUAAAGAAAGACUGAAAGGGAAUGGAUGGGCUACAACCAUACUUCAAAUCUACUUCUGGUUCGUAAGUAAUCAAAACCUCAAGAGUCAAGAAGGUAGUACGACAAAACAUUAUUAGUACAUCAACUGCAAAUUAAGAGACCCUUUUUACCACUUGAUCAAACACCUUUAGCUUUACUCCAACAUCACAGCUUCCAUAGGCACGUCUCAAAUCUCAAUCAAUCUCAAGUCGGCAUAACAACAACAUCACUCCAUAUUUAUCAUUUCCUAAUAAGUUUAUUUCAGUACUAUGCCUUUGAGGUCGACUGUAAGAUCUGGAGAUGGAACCCAUUCUGAUAGCACCCAAAUGAACAAACUUGUUCCUUAAAAGCACAUUAUCCAUAAGAUUGACUUAUUACCUACUUCAUACUCUUUCUUGACAAUUGGACGAAUCUAAAAGAGCUACAACGAACGAACACAUAGGGAGAGUAUAAUUGAUCACACAUAUAAGAAUUGAGUUUGCACACAGGGGGGUUCUUCAAUCUAGGUUGAUCGGAGGGUUGAACCCAUUCACAGUCAUUCCACCGUCCACAGAGAUAACCUGCCCAGUGAUGUAAGAAGCAGCAGGUAGGCACAGGAAUCCCACCAAGCUCGACACUUCAUUCGGCUCCCCAACCCUUUGCAGUGGCGUUCUCGCCACUAUCUGCUGCAAGAAUUCCUUCUUCUCCAGCAGCUGCACCCAAAACAAACCCAUUUUAAAAAACUCGAUUUCACAACAUGGGGAAGUUUCAAACAAACAGGGUUAGCAGAGAGCCUUUACUCAUACUCACAUGUUCAACAAGGGAAGUUCUAGUGUACCAAGGAGCCACGCAGUUUACUCUGAUGUUAUCCUUUGCCCACUCACAAGCCAGAUUUUUUGUCAGCUGGUUUAUUGCACCUGAAAUUAGACACCAAGUUAGGCAAGCCAGUUCACUGACGACUUUUAUCAAACACCUUCCGUGCACGAAACUCCCAUUUUUUUCCAAACCAACCUUUGGAGAGACCAUAAAUGGAUCCGCUGCCUAUGUGUAACACACCGGCUACCGACGAAACGAAGACGACAGACCCAGCUCCUGAUUUCUUCAGAAGCGGGUGUGCCAAUUGGCAGAGAUGGUACGCCGAUUCCAAAUUAACCGACAUCAGCCUCAGGUAUUCCUCCGUUGUAUACUCCGUAGUCGGCUUCCUUGCAUUCGUCCCGACGUUAUUCACCUGAAAAAUCAACAACAAAAGAAACAGAUUAAACUCCAUUCAUCGCCAAUUCGCCAUUGAAAUAAGUCGCUUAUUUGCAGAGAAUUGGGGUUUUGACUAACGAGAAUGUUGAGAGUGCCGUUGUAAAGCGCGGAAACAUCGCGGACGAGCUUCUGCCUUUCGGAAGGAGACGACACGUCGCAGACUGAACCGGAGACGGAGAACCCUUUCUCCUUGCAUUGCUGCAAGAACUUGUUGAGCUCAGCUUCGUUUCUAGAACACGUAUGUACCUUAGCUCCCAGUCCAGCAAGUUCCUCUACUGUUGCAUAUCUGUCCAAACAAGGAAAGCAAAACCCCAGUUAAGAAUAGCCCAAGCCCGUUUUAAAACCAAAGAAGCCCAAUCUAAAUUAGGGAGCCGUUACAAGCCCGCUGAGGGACGGAAUAAACAAGAAAGUUCGUUUUCGCCUUUUCGGUCCUCUAAUAAUCCCCUUUGGCUGCUCUGUAGUUUUCAAUCGGCGUCAAACAAAAUCCCCUCCGCCGUCACUUUGCAUGGAUCACGAAUCGCGAUCAGCUCCGAAUCCGAUGAACAAUCUUUUAAUUAAACCGAUAUACUAACUAAUAUGGUUAUACGGGCGAGCUAUUCCAUAAUCAAGAAAAGUUAGUAAUGCGAGAGAAGAGGGGAGAAAAUCAAGAACGAACCCGAUGCCACGGGUGCCGCCGGUGACGAGAGCCGUGAAGCCGUGAAGGGACCAUCUCGCAGACGGGGAAUGGUGGUGGCCGUUUGUCGCUGCCAUGGGAUGAAGACGCUAGCUAGAUAUUGAAAUUGUGGGGAGAUGAUGAUGAUGAAAUGAUGUAGAAUUUGUUGGGUGUUUUGAGAAAGGGGAAGGCGAAGGUGCAUAUAAAUAGAUAGGAAGGAGGAGGAAUUAGACACGUAAACUUGGAUAAGCGAAAAAGAGCGUUACACUUAGGAUCCCGUCAUCAAUGGCCAGUCGUUAUCAGGAAACUAAGGUAAAAUAAAAGGAAAGUAGAAGAAUGGCGAAAUGCACAUUCCGUGUUCUCCAUUUCGUAAAUGGUUUUCUAAAAGGUAAAACACUCUUUCGAUAUAAGAUAAAGUAUUCAUUUUAUGGAUAUAUAAAAUUUGAAUUCGAGAUUUUACGGAUCACCAGACAACAAUCUAUCUAUUUACCACGUGAGCAAUUCUACUUGGAUGGUUUUUCAGUAGGGCAAUAUAAGUAAUAGUUAAUAAGCGAGUUAAGCGGGUUAUGAAUGAGCUGAUCGGUUAAGGUUAAGUUUUCACCACUACAUAUGAUUGAAUUAUGAGUUAAUUUGAUGAUAUCUCAUUUGUAGAUUUUAAAUAAAAUAUAGGUGGGAUGAGUUUUGAAUUGUUAGCAUGGUGAGCCUAUUUUCAAGUUGUUGUUUGUGUUGGGACUGAAUUGAAUGAUUUAUUUUUGUCAGUCUUGGGAUAUACAAGAGCCAGACAUGAAUCUCACACAAUGAGCAACUUCUAGUAUCAGUGUGAUGAACGACCAUACCAAAACAAGACAAUUGAGUAUAUGCAUGGUUGAAAUCGUAAGAUCUCUAAUAACAAUUUCGAUACAUAAACAACACUGAAAUAGGCUUGUUAAUUGUGCAUCACCUUCCAUAUCCAUCCCACUAAAAUGCAAGUACUAAACAUGUGGGAAGUGGAAGUCUAAUCGUCCUCUUGAUCGGGGCAGGAAAUAUAAAUGGCCCCAAAGGUGGGUGGGUGGGUUUGUGGAACAAUGUAUAAGCAUUCCUUUUGUCUUACAAACCAUAUAUGCCAGUCAGAAAAGGUCGACUGAGGCGAGGUCAUCAAUUUGUACACAGAAAAAGGUUAAAAAGGCUCUCACCUAAUUUCACUCACGAUGUCCCUAUCGUGACUUUUCUUCAUCGAAUGCUUGAAUGGACCUUUUCUACAUCCUUCCAUUGUGCCGUGAUAUCAUGCAUGCAUGCUCUCUCAUAACUUUAUAUUCAUUGUUUGUUCAAUGUGAUAAGCUAGAGGGUAACUCGGCCUGAAUGAUUAUAUACGUUAAUACUGUUUCGAUAUAAUCUCUUUCAUCUGCCUUAGUAACAAGAUUUAAGGUGUUAUGUUGCUUCGUCGUAUUUUCUUUGUGUUUAUGUACCUUUUCUAUUUACUUAUCCAAACGACGUGAACGUGAUGGUUUACUUAUUCGUAAAUGGAUUUAUAUAAAAAAUUAAGAAAUUAUUAGUUUGAGCUGAAAUAUUCAAUUGUUUUGUGUUGGUUGAAUAUAUCUCUACAUAUGAUUAAAGUUUAACCAGAUCAUAUCAUUUAAAAAAUAACAUGAUAGAUUAGAGGUUUUCCGUAACAAAUAUUUUGUAUACCUUUGAAAAUAAUGUAUAGCAUAAAAAACUUGAAGGGCAUGUCCAAGCAUAACAUCCACACAAACACAAUUUUUAAAAUACAUUAAAUUAGAAUUUGACCAUCUCUCAAAUAAGAACACACAUAAUGCAAUAAAUGUGCUACUCGCCUACUCCACAAUAAUGUGUCGGCUUGUUUCGGCUAAUUUCGUUAUUAUGCAAUCUUUGUUGAUCAUUUCACAUGAUUUGUUUGGUUCUUGUCAUUGAAACGCAAAUAUGAUGUUCAUGAUGUCUUCGUUGCUUUCAAAGCCCAAGUGGAAAAUCAGUUUCAAUCCUCCAUUGUGACUCUCUUCUCUGAUCGUGGCGGCGAAUACAACAAGCUUAAUCCCCUUUUUCUUCGAUCCCAUGGCAUCCAACAUCUCACCACGCCACCACACACUCCACAACAUAAUGGCCUUGCUGAACGCAACCAUCGUCACAUUAUCGAGACGGGUCUUUCUCUUCUCCAUCAAGCAUCUCUUCCGGCCUCAUACUGGACCUACGCUUAUCGUAUGGCUGUUCAUCUUAUUAAUAAGAUGCCAACUGCCACACUUUAUGGUGUUUCUCCUCACUAUAAGGCUCUUCCAUCAACAUCCUCGCUAUACUAGUCUUAGAAUUUUUGGGUGUCUGUGUUUUCCGUAUCUUCGGCCAUAUUCCUCCCACAAGCUUGAUUCCCGCUCUCUGCCUUGUGUCUUUCUGGGGGACAGCUCUACCAAGAGUGCUUAUCUCUGUCUUGAGCCUCGGUCAAGUCACUUGUAUGUCUUUCGUCAUGUCUCUUUCGAUGAAAAUGAGUUUCCUUUUCAGAAGCUCACUCCCUCACCCGCGUCAACUUCCUCUUGGCUAGCUUCUCUUUCUAAUGGCCCCCAAUCACUAUUGUCCCUUUCGCCCCAACUGUAACUCCCCACCACAUCCCAAAAUCCACCUACCCCAGUAACAACUCCUACCCUACCUCCAACUGUGACACCGCCUCCCUCCCCGGAAUCUUCUCCAACUGCCUCUCCUCCGUCGACACCGCCGUCGGCCAACCCACCUUCAAAUCCUCCUCCCCCGCCUUGGAAAAUCGUCACCCGAUCCCACAACAAUAUCUAUCGGCCUAAACGCCUCUUCUCUGCUACUAGCCAUCCUCCUACCACACCCCUAAAACCCACCAGUGUAGAGAUGGAUCUCCUUGAUCCUCUAUGGCGCCAAGCCAUGUUGGAUGAGCUGCGUGCUGUCCGGGCUAAUUUUACUUGGUCUCUAACUCUCAAACCGAGUUGUGCAAAUGUUGUUGGUUGCAGGGUGUUUCGUAUCAAACGCAAUGCAGACGACUCAUUGCUUGGUACAAGGCACGACUUGUUGCCAAGAAAUUUCACCAACGCCCAGGCUUGGAUUUUCAUGAUACGUACAACCCUGUGGUAAAGCCAGCCACAAUUAUGGUGGUUCUUGCCGCUGCAGUAGCUCACGGGUGGCCGUGCCGUUUUUAGACACUGACUACAGAUAUCACAUUGCUUCACAACGACGAGAUACAAUGAUUAAAGGAAAUGGACAUGCCGUUGUGGAUUGUUUUAGCAAAACACAGUCAGAGGAUCCAUCAUUCAUGUAUUUAGUUCAGUUUGAUGAUGAUGAUCUUCUUAUGAAUAUCUUUUGGGCAGAUGGCAGGUCGAUAGUUGAUUAUAAGCAUUUUGGACAUGUAUGUUUUGAUAAAAUUUAUAGAACUAAUAAGUAUGGUCGACCUUUUGCUGCAUUUGUUGGAGUUAAUCACCUAAAGGAGACAGUAAUCUUUGGGACGGCGUUGCUUUAUGACGAAACAAUUCCAUCUUUCAAAUGGUUAUUUAGAGCUUUUUAAAGUGUAAUGGGAAGAAAGGAACCUACGACCAUAUUAACAAAUCAAUCAGCUACUAUGACAAGAGCAAUACAAGAGGUAUUCACUAAAACUCAUCAUCGUUUAUGUAUUUGGCAUAUUUAUCAAAAUGCUGCUACACAUUUGUGCCAUGUAUUUCACUCAUCCAAGCAAUUUGCUAGUGAUUUUGGUGCGUGUGUAUAUGAUUAUGAAGAAGAGGAUGAAUGGCAUCAAGCUUGGGAUGCUAUGCUUAAAAAAUAUUCUUUAGAAGACAAUGAAUGGUUACAAGGAAUGUUCUUAAAAAAAGAAAGUGGGCAAUGGUAUAUGGGCGUCAUAUGUAUACUGCUGAUAUGAAGAGUACACAACAUAGUGAAUCGAUGAAUAACAUGUUGAAGAAAUAUUUGAAGCAAAAAAAUCCAAUUUGGUAUACUUUUCCCGAACAUUACAAUCAAUUGGUGGAAGAUCGAAGGUACAAAGAGUUUAUGGGAGAGUUCAAAAUGAGGAAUAGUAACCCGAUAUUAAAAGCAGAUGUCGAGAUGUUAAGACAUGUGUCAGAAAUUUACUGCCCAAAAUGUUUGUGAUGUUCCAAGAAGAAUAUCUUAAAUUGUUGGAUUGAACGGUUGAUAAGAUAAGCAAAACUGAAGAUUAAGUAGAAUACAAAGUAAAAUAUGUUGGUAGAGAUAUAUAGCAUCGUGUUGGAUUUAAACCUUCUCGUCAGGUCGUUGACUGUAGUUGCAAGAAGUUUGACUUUGUGAAUUUUGUGUGCUCAUGCUUUGAAAGUUCUUGAUAAGAAAAAUCUAAAGCAAAUCUCAGAGCAAUAUAUAUAUUAAAGAGAUAGAUAAAGGAUGCAAAAGAUGAAGAUAUCAGAAGUUCGAUUCAAGUUUAUGGAAGUUCUAAAGAACUAAUUAGAAAGCGUUAUUUCAAUUUGAAUUAUAAUUUUUGAAAUAUAUCGACAUUGACAGCAGAGGAUGACACUAUACAUGGGCACACAUGUGAAGUUUAUUCAAAGUUACUGAAGGACUUGCGAAUAAUGAAGAGAUCUUUACAUGAUGGAACCAACAAUGAUGUAUCUGACUCAAAUUAUGAAGAAGAAAAUCCAAUUAUAGCUGGAGUGAAGACAAAACCAACCGUUAACCGGCCAAAAAGGAGUCUGAAAGGUCCAUUAGAGUAAUGCAAAAAUCAGAAAGCUCAAUCAAAGUUAAAAGUUCUCCUUACCCCUCUUCCUUUUUUAUAUUUAAGAUAUGAUUUUUAUGUCAUCUAAUUAUAUUAACUAUAUUUUAAAUGAUAAUAUACUCAGCCUGAGAAAAAGACAACAAAUAUUUCUCAACAAGCUUAAAAUGGUAUUCAGUUUCAAGUUCAAAAGAAUUAGGUAUGCAGUUUCAAGUUCAAAUAGAAAACCAGAUUAGUGGUAGGGGAGCUGUUUUUCUGGCGAGAUUUUGUUUCUUAAAUCUGACUUGGUUUUGGGGUUGUAUUAUUGCUUCUCUGAGGUUCUGCAGAACAUUCAAAGAGUGAGAAAUCCGUUAAACUUUAACCAGUUUAGAAUUAAAAAUAAAAAUAAAUGAAAGGAGCAAGCUGGAAAAAAAAAAUAUAAAGUACUCCAUCUUCUUCUUCUUCUUCUUCUCUGUCUCGAUCUGUCUCUGUCUCGUCUCUGUAAUUCUUCCUACGAAACAACUUAAUGCCAUCUGAAACAAAACAAAUACAAACCCUCAGAAACAGACGCAAUCAAUUUUCUUACCAUAAAUGCCAAAGCUAAACAACACCCAAUAAUCCAAUGCAUGCCAACCCAGAGUUCCCCCCCAUGUGCACCAGCAACCCAGCUCUCUGCAGCACACCUAGCUAGAGCUCUCUCUAUCUCUACUUAGCUGCCUUCUUCUUCUUCUUCUUCCAAUUCAAUGGGUAAAUUAAAGUCUCCAACUUGCACAAACAUGGGACUUGUUAGGAACCCAACUCCACUUUCCCUUUUGUACAUCUCUCUGCCUGCAUCACCCGAGAACCCCACGCAUGCUACUGUAACACAAAAUCAAUACAGAGCGACCCAUCUGACUGUACACGUACACACCACAAUUGCACAUCUGUUAAUGAAUUACACUGGUCUAUAAAUGGUGAAAAGGAAAAAGGCCUUUUAAAUUCCUCUGGCUGCAGGCGUGUAACAGUUUUACUCUGCUGUGCUCUCCUUUCUUUUUUUUGUUUGUUCUUGGGAUGCAUGCAUGAGAGGUAUGGUUCAGGGUAGGUUUAGGCCACAUUAAGUCAAAGCCGAUGUUUCAUCAAUUUGCCUCUUUUAGCAUUGCUUUUUGGGGAAGAUCAAACCAUUGUCCUUUUGUCUUUCUCGCUAGCUGCCCUGUAUUCUGGAGCUAGAGCUAUUAAGCAGAGGAAAAAACAGAGAAGGAAUUGUUUCUACCAGUAGAAUUUACUCUUCUGUCUUGUAACACAGAUCGAGUGCAGUUGUUAAUGUUGCAUGUUAGUCUAUUAAUGGCCAUCCGCUUGCACAACACACACACAUAAUUUGUAUACAACAUCAUCGCUAGCUAGGUUGUUUAAACCUUUUUUUGGUAAUACUUUAGUCCUAUAUAAUUAGUGUUGAGACGAGACUCAGCGUUCAAAAAAGUGUACAAAUUAAAGUUUAGUGUAACAAAUGAGGAUAAGAUACAUGAAUAAUUUGAUGCACGACUAGCCAAUUUAUAAUGGUGAUUGAUACGUCACUACUUUCAAAUGUUCUUUUAGAGCCAUAAGUGAACACAGCUCAACAAUUGAAAACCGGGUAUUGGUGAUCGUCAUGGUUACUUCUGAUGAUAAGCUGCUUGACCACUCGUCUAGGAGUCCAAACAUAUAUGGACGUUACAUUGUCCCAGGUCUCAAACGAGUGGUCGAAAUUUUACGCCGGACCACUCAAUUGAUCUAUCCUAGUGAUCGAAUAAAUUCUUAGUGGGUUGAAACUCUGCAGAAUUUAUGAUUAGAUUCAAGGUACGGAAAUCAGAUAUAAUGGUAUCAUAAACAUUGACUCGGUCGGAUUAAGAACAAAUCAAACUAGUAUAUGUGGCGACAGAAUGUGCAAAGGGUUUAAUUUGUAGAAGAGCUUGUGGUUGCGUUGGAUUGAGAAGGUUGGUCAUUUUUUGAAUUGAUGUGUGAUUGUAGGUAGCAAUAAUAAACAAAGGUAGCUAAUUAAUAAGGGAGUAAUAAGGAGGGAAACAAAGGCGACUCCUAGCUAGAAGAAAUAGUGUUAUGAAUGGAUGAUGUGAUGUUUUCACUAUUUGAGGGUCUUUUACUUUUGUUUUGUGCAUUGUCACUAUCUUAAUUAAUUGUGUAAAAUUAAUUAAUUAAAUAAAUACAUUAAUUAGUUAAUUCCUUUGUUAGAGGUAGCUUUUAUAUAUGACCAAACUUAUAUAUAAUCAAAUUGGAUUCCCUGGAGAGUAGGUAGUUUUUGGACCUUUCCACAGAGUUUGGGGAGAUAUCUACUAUAUUGCUUGCAUGUGAUCGAUCUACAAAAUGGAAACUAGUAGAAAGUAAUAUGGGAUUCUUUAUAUAUCCAUUACUUCCAAACUUAUCCAAGACAAUUAGUAUUCAAUUCACACAUCAUAUCAUAUGAUUAUAAAUUCAUAAAAGAUGUAUAUAUAAAACAAGGGAAUAAUUAAGUUGUUUUUUUUUAAAUGAAUAUUUGAAUUUUCAUUCGUCUAAGAGGUUCAAGAGAUGAGCGUAGAUAGUGCAUACUGGAGGGACAGACUCCACAAACGAAGCUGUAUGGGUCGCGGGUCAGUGCUAUAUAUCAACAUCUGUCCUUGCUAACCAACUUACAGGCAACGGCCAAAAAAACAAGACUAUAGAAAAAGAUCGAAAACAACAGUGUCGUAGUUUGAGAAAGUAAAGCUAGAUAUGGACUAAGCAAGUACUUAUUGGAUACACCGUAAGGCUAGAGUCAUGGCUAUCCCCACGUCUUUUAAUUGGGAAGAGCUUGCCCUGGGUUGUUCUUCUGGGGCGAUUUCUGCACUUUCCUGCUCGUCAUGGCUUCCAUAUCCAUCAGGUCUGAUGUAGUCCGCUCGUAACAACGACGUUUACAGUCGUCUGUACUAGGAUCUCAGUUUGACUCCGUAGAUGCUCAAUGGAAAGUAUUGCCAAUUUGAUGUGAUUCGCUUCCUUUGGGAGUGAGUCACCUCCGUACUGAGCUCGAGCGAUGGUUUGCUGCAGUUGUCGUUGCUCCACUGUGAGGCCUUCCUUGCUUGAGCUGCCUUCCACGAGAGUGCUUUGAUCAACUCAUCCCAGAGAAACGGGAAUUUGAUGACACUCGAUUUUUCGUGUUCAUCACCCUUAUUUAAGCAAUAUUUCAUGCAUAAUUGUAUUCUUUAGGUAUAAGUUUAGGAUGUUUUAUGCAUUUUUAGCUUUUAUCUCGAUUUGGUGUCUCGGACCCGUUUGGGGUCGUUUUUAUGUUGUUUUGGAGUGUUUUUCAUAGAUUUCAGGUUCAUAACAAUAUCGAGGCAUUAAUCGAAGUGAUACGGCAUGUGUGGAUGGUCUCGGAUAAGAAAUAGGAUGCAUUUUGACAUCUUCAAGGAGCGUGGAUUUCGAAUUGGUCGGAAAACAUCACAUUUUCGUAUUUUGGACAUAUCUAUUAGCUCAGAACUCCGAUUGAUGUAAGGUUGACGGCGUUGGAAAGCUCGUUCAGUUUCUUACACCUUUGGUUCUGGAAGUUUUUUACAGUAUGCGCCUAAAAGUUUCACACUAUGUGCCUAAGUUUAGGCGCAUUGUGUGACGGCUUGGGCGCAUGGAUUCUCUAGACUAUGCGCCUAUAACAUAUCAAUUAAGGCGCAUAGUGUGAAGGUCGACAACAAUAAGGAUUUCUACUCCUAUUUAAAGCCUAGUUCUCCCUCAUUCAAAGACAAACCUUUUUGGACGAAAAUCAAAGGAUAUUUCAGAGACUUCGGAGCGACGAGAAGGCAUCGACUUCGAGGAGUUUGGAUCGGAAGACAUAAUCAAAAUCGGCGAAUCAAGUUCUUCGGCGGGGAUCAGCGGAAUUAGGGUUUUCGGCUUUUCUCUUGUAAAACUACUAGGUUUUCGGAUUUCUUCUUGUAAACCUAAUUCCAAUGUCUUCCUUCUUUGAAUCUGAUUUUUUCUUUGAGAUCAUGAGUAGCUAAACUCCUCCCGCUUAGAUGAGAUGAACCUUAGGUUAAUUCCUAUGAACAAAUGAUUUGAUACGUUUGACAAUUUAUGCGAGUUGGAUGGAUUUCAUUGCAUAUUUGAUUUCAUUUUCGAUUAGUUCUUGCAUGAUCAACUUGAAUGAAUCUCUGUUAGAUUUAUCUUAGACUCGCAAGAGCUUGCAUGUCUAGAACGCCGAAAUUAAAUAACUAGGUUAAACGUUAACCCCUCAUCCAGAAGCGAAUGAACUAGUCUGUCGUGUGAACAAUUUUAAAUCGAUAAAUCACCUAGUGGGUUUUAGAUUUUUGUCUCGAAAGAACGGACUAGAAUACUAGAUAAGUAGCAAAUGCAUGGUAUAGAAAAAUGUACAUAACCUUCAUUCAUAUAAUAUAAUAUCGUAGUAAAUGCAUGGACAAUUAGUGAUGACGUAAUGAAUUUACAACCGAUUAACCGCGCUUGACCAGUAGGAUUAAUAAUAAUAAAUAAAGGUAAAGAAGCACUGUUGGAAUGAAAGAUUGCAGCCUCCUCAAAUAAACCGACGAGGAAUUGACAUGAGCAACUGCUAAUAACACAGCGGUAAAUAAUAAUAACAAAUUAAUUAAAAACCCCCAGAAUUCUUUCUUCUUUCUUCUUCUGUGUAAUUUUAUGUAGCAGAAUUGACUUACCCUCAGUUCCUUUUUUUCUUUUCAUUUUUGUUUUGAUUCCCACGAUGGAAAUAUGUAAUAGUUAGUUGAGUUGACGUCCAUACAUACAUGCACACACUCUGGUUUAAAAUCCCACAGUCAAAUUCAUAACCCAUCUCCAUCUCUGUCUGUCUGUCGUCAUCUUGAAAUAGAUAGAAUAUGACAAGGAAGCUUCGGUCUGUGUUUCUCUUUUUGCUAUACAGAGCCAACCUGUUGGAAAUCACAAGGGCCAAACUCCUUGGUUCCCCUUGCGGUUUUCGGCAAUGGGGGAAAAAAAACUUAACUCCUACGGCCAGUUUUCUCAAACAACUGGCAUAUAUUUAUUUUGUUUCCACUUCAUCAUCAUGUAAAUAGCUAGCUUCCCACCAGAUCUGCUGACAAUUGUUUUAAUUACACAAUUAGUAACUAAACUUCGACGUUUUAACUAUCAUGUCACUGAAUUUGAAAAGUUAUUCUAAUCGUAUACUUUUUUUUUGGCCAAGAACACCAACAAGAAACAGAGACACAACAAGGGUCACAAAAACCCAGAAAUCGCAGAGUUCAUCAUACAACUCAGCCAAUCACACCUCAAAGACUCAUCUCUAGCAUUUCUUGGAGAUGAUGUCCACUGCUGCAAUAAACUGUCUCGAUCAAUGAUGGAUCUCCAUAGACGGAUUGGCUAUCAGAAUCUCCUGCACGUACCGCCGCCACAAUGCCAGUGCAUUCCCAAUGACAAUUCUUCAAAGAAGAAGACAAGCAUCAACCACUUUCUUGCAAUCUGGCCAAACAUUCGCUCUGCCACCCUCUCGAACAGCAAGAACACACGCAGCAUGCAUAAACAGCACGAACAUCAGCAACACUCGGCGUUCUACACAAGAAGUGACCCGCCACACCAUCAACCGCAUUACCUUCGGGAUUCAUUCUAAUAGUAUAUAUAUCCGAGGAAAUUGAUGAAUAACCCAUGAUGAGUUACUUACUCCCGGCCAUUUUCCGUUCAUUUUUUUGGGGGGGUCUAGGUGGCUUUGACCUUGUAAAUAAAAUUUGAAAAGUAAUAACAAAUUGCUAAGAGAUGAUAGGGAAUUGUAUCAACAAAUGAGUAUUGGAUUGUGAGGGUCUCGUCGUGAUAUAGGAGGAUCGGAGGCAGGGGUGGAGUCUAAGUGGUACACAAGACUCCAUUUGGGCAAUAUUUUUUUUUUAAACUAAUAGGUCAUUUUACGCGAAAGAUUAAAUUUGAACUUAAGACCCUAUUUGGAUUUAGUUCGAAAUUCAUAUAAUUCGUUUAUCUAUCUUAAAUUUGGAAUAAAAUAUUCCAAUAACACAACUUAUUAAUAAAUAAUGAUCAUAAAUUUAGUUCAAACAACCCAAAUAUAAGGCAAAAAAUUGUCAGUGGCACAUUUUAUAACCAAAAACAAUAUUCUUUUAUAUAUUUUAAUAUAGAGUUACGUUUGAAACAAUUUACUAGUUAGUUGAUUUCUCGAUACACAAAUUUUUGAUUCAAAUUCUUCUCAAUGCAUGUUUGAUUUUGGUUUCGCAACUCAACCUCAUUCUUUGUAGAUAACUAACUAAUGAAGAAAGUUCUUAACAAAAGUCAGAAUAUCGAAUGCCAAAAAUGAUGUAUCAAAAACAUAUCAUUUGAAGUGAACGAGAAAGUGUAUUGUAAUUUAUAAAUUACUUUCAUAAUAUAAAAAUUCUACGUGGAAAUAUUAUUGUAAUUUGUAAAGUACUUCCAUAAUAUAAAAAUUUUACAUGGAAAUAUUAAUUAGAGUAAGGAUCCCACUUGACUCAGAUUCUAACUACACCAAGAAAACAGUUGUGAUGGGGUAUGAAUGUGCUUUGUAUUUGGGAAAUAUUUUGAAGAUUGAAGUGUUAUUUUUUGCGUUUUCGGCUCAAUUCCGAUCAAAAUUAUCAAUUAUGUCAGAAUUUGCAUUCAAAUCCAUGAGUUGAAAGACGUGAAAUUACACUAUAGUUCAUAACUUUUUUGAGUUUUAAGCCAUUAAUUAAGUUAUUCGUUCAGUGUAUAACUAGUUAAAUUAACACUUGUGAAUUUCAUUCAUACUUCCUGCCGAUCGUUGAUUAGAUUUCUCCUUACUACCUACUCAGAUCAAACAAGAAAAAAAAACAGGAAGAUCGGAGGAAAACUACAAAUCAUGGUGAAUAAUAUAUAUUCUCAUAAUUUAUAGUUCGAAACGACAUGCCGUACUAGCUAGAGUACAAUUUCGUCAAAGCCUUAGCUCAAGAUCCAAAUCACUAACGUCGCCGGACCUAUACACAAUCCCCUCCGACGACGACGUCGACAGAGACAAUGUUACCGACGGCGGUGACGAUAAAGUCUUCCUCCUCUUGCCGCUCGCCUCCUUCUCGUCGUUAUAGCUUCCACUUUCCACAAUGUUAACCACCAGUGCUAGAUCCGGCCAGGAAUAUUUAACAUUGUUCUCCGACGAUCCACCUUCCGCCGUCGUGGUCGACGACGAAGAAACCCUAGGAGGAGACGCGUUACAAUUUCCCGUGGCGGCAUCCACAGGCGGCGGCGGUGGGCUGACGUCGGCGUCGUCUCCGUCAAGAUGGGACAACUGAUCUUGUUGGUGCAGCUUGAGGCGAGCACGGUCGCGGCGGUGGACGUUCAUGUGACCCGUUCAUGUGACCGCCGAGGGCUUGAGCGGAGCGGAACUCCCGUCGGCAGAAGGUGCAGGAGUAAGACCUCGGAGGCCAAAUGCACCCGCCGGCGUCUUCGGCGAACAUUCUCUCUUCCCACGAGGGGGAGGAGGUGGUGGCGAGGAAGUGGGCCGGACGGCGGCCGUGUUUCAUCCACAUCCAUUGCUGAUGGGCUUGCUCCAUUGUUGUAACCGUCGUUAUUUCAGCUGAUGAUGAGUACAUGGUUUGAACUUUAGUUUGUGAGUGAGAGAGACAGAGAAGAAAUUAAAAGACCUUUUUUUUUGUGUGUGUGACAAGUCAAAAGGGGGGAAAUGGUCUUUAUAUAGAAAGAAGACGUACGGCCUGCUGAAUUUUUAUUUAUUUAUUUAAUUUUUCGGAAAUAUGUCAUUUUUCGUCAAAAUUUAUUAAUAUUGGGUACGUAUAUAAAGAUGUAAUUCGAGAUGGAUGCUCACCUUGUUGUUCAAAACUUCAAGAUAAUUGAUAAGGAACUUGUUGAGUUCAGAGAAAUCAUGAGAAGGUGUCAGGAAGUAUAUCUUUGAUGUUUUUCCAUCUUUCAUUUUUGUUACUUAUAUCCGAAAUAGUUGUAAUAUUAUUGUUGCGUAUGAAAUUGCUCAACGUUUUAUUACAUAUGCAGAUGUCGCAUGUUCCUUGCGGGAGAUGUUCCUCCAGUCUAGAUGAUUGAACUUUUACGGACUAUAUACAUUGAUAUUAAUUAAUAAUUAGAAAGAAGAAACAAAAUAAAAUAAAAAAUAAAAAAAGAAAGUUCAACCAAUAAUAUGUGUAUACAUGGACCGGUUGUAGGAACACUCGACGACCCAAUAUGGAUGUAAAUAAUUNNNNNNACACUACAAAUCGAGUGUCAUCACACUCCGACAAUUUUCAACACUCCUCAUACGUUAGCUCGACAAACUUCACCGGAAGGCUCGCUCUUUGGUGUGUAAACAACUAAACGGUUUAAUCAUCAAGGUCGUCUCAUCGAAUUUCCAUUUUAUUCAUAUGUAUGUAAAUAAUAAUGGUGGGUGUUUUUUUUUUUUUUUUUUUUUCCUCUUGGCGGGGAUUACUUACUUGAAAAAUCAUCUAACAAAUGAAAAUUUAGAAGCAAUCAAGUCUAAAAUUGGGUAUCCACUUGAUCACUUAUAUUCCUCUACUAAAAAUGAUGAUAGAGAAACGUUGUUGGUUGUUUCGUGUGUAUGUUGAUGAUAUAAAAGUAUCGAGUUUGAAUAUGAUACAUAUUUGUCAAUAUAAAUUUGAACCUUCAAUAUAAAAUUGUGAAACGAGUGCUUCAUUGACUCAACUUAAAAGUACAGAUGGUGAUGUAUACACUGUCUAUGAAUUGAUGUUUAUACGGUACUAAAAUAUAUAAAAAUUUCAAUUCAAAUACUCGUGCCGAAGCUGAUUAUUAUGAAAAAAACCGACUACGUAAUGUUUGAAAGUUAGGAUGUGAACGUGACUCAUUCUUUUAACUAUGGACGGAUAUUAUUGAAACAUAAUCUACACAAUUGUAAUUACAGACUAGUUUGUCAUACUCUAUGGCCAGUUAGGGCAGACAACUUGUGAAGCUUGCUGGAAACACAUGUAUAUAUGUACAAAUAUAAUGUUCCAGAACAAAAAUGCAAAAGUAUAAGACAUAAUGAAUUGAAGGUCCAUCCAUCCAUCGAUCCAUCUCUUUUUCACCUUUACAUAAUAUAUAAAUGAAUUUUAUAUAAGGUCAGAAGAGGUCUCCUCUUAUGUGCUUAGUGAAUCAUUAACAAUUUCUGUCGUAUUAAUUAGUGGGGAUUGGGAUUUGAAAUUUCGAGAGAAUAAUAUUUUAUUAAUGAGGAUAAGGUAACAGCCACCAAUGUUAACUUAUUAUGUGGAGUUAACACAGUUUGCCAACACAAUAAAAAUUAAAUGUGUAUGUCUGAAAUUUUGAUUAACGGUCUUAAUUACAACUGGUUUGACCCCGUAGCUAUCAUUAUAAUUGCCAGUGUAUAUAAUAAAUAUGUCAUGAUAUAAUAUCUCCCAACAGACUAUUACUAAUUCUUUCCAGCACUUAAUUAAUUCAAUCUGCUGUGCUCAAACAAAGAUUAAGACAAAGAUCAUAUGCUGACAUUUUCUCUCUUUUUUUUCUCCCUCUCUGGAAGAAAUUAAAGAGACAGAGUAAUGGAGCAUCAUCCUUCCCAGUUGGAAUUGAAGCUUAAUAACUAUUUCAUUAUAUAAUAAUUGGCUUAAUGAGUGUUCAUUGGAGCGUCACAAACUCCCAAUUGGCAAUUGCUUNNNNNNNNNNNNNNNNNNNNNNNNNNNNNNNNNNNNNNNNNNNNNAAAAAAUUAUAAAUAUAUAAAAAAAUUAUAAUUUAGUGCUGAAAUGGUCCUGAGGCAUGCACCAUGUGACACCCCUAAAUCUGCCCAGGGUUAAUGCAUUCGUUACCGUACCGUGUGACUAACGGUAGAUUCACAAUGAUUAAUAUGCUACGAGAGUAUUCUAUAAAAUGCUAUUGAUCGGAUGAGUCAUAUCCCUCAGAAUCGCAGCUAUUAUACAGCUUUGAAACGAGUUAUGUCCCAACACCAUUGUAUAAUGUAUUUCUUGAGACAAGCUAUGCUAUCUGUAAGGAAAAAUAGAUAGUAAUAAAACUAGUUUUUUUAGGUGAUAUAUAAAGCUAGUUUUGUGUUCGUGUUAUAGAGUAGAUAUCUGUUAUAAAUCGAACACAAAAAAUCAAAAGUAUAUCAAUUUAGCAAAAAAUUUAUCUAACUCUCGGUCGCCUUCAAGAUAAAAACAGUUAUUUUAUAUUAUUUUUUGUUGUACGAAAACAAGGUCUCUAAAUACAUUUUUAAUAUAUUGUUGCUCUCUUCAGUGUAUGUUUUUAGUGUUAGGCUGUUUUACUUUUAUAGAGGCAAAGCGGUAAAAUAAUAAAUAAAAAUAUGGAAUCUGAAGGGCAACCACCCAAUCAUUUGUCACAACUGACUGAUAGGUCGAACACGCGUGUAGUUCGAAAAUCACCUAAAUCUUCCCCCAUUCGCAAAAUCUUUCUAUCAAAACUUUUUUAUAUUGAUCUUUUAUUCAAUGUGGUAUUUGAUUACACUCCACUUAAUUUUUAAGUUAAUUAAGUUUGACUUGCUAGUAUUGGAAGUCAAAUGACCAAUCUUUUCAUGGCCUUGACAUUUGGAAUGGCCAUGCUUAAACAUAAAAUUAAAAGGUAAGGCCUUAAACAUUCAGGAGUUUAAUUUGGACAGCUAAUUGAGAAAUGGGCCUUUGACUUCGGUUAUAUGACUGUUUCAUCCUCUGGGUUAUUAUAAAACCAUUUGACAAAAUAACCAUCACAGUACGUUGACUACUUAAAACUUAUCAUGAAGGCCCUGCACUGGCAAUCUGGGCAUGAAUUAUCAGUGAACAUAUGGAAGAAGUAGAUAUGGAAGUUAUAUCUCAUUUCUCUGAAAUAUAUAUAUAAUUAAUGUUGGAGAUUUCACUCAACAAUGGGUAUCGGAAAUGUGGUUGCUUUCUUAGAAACGAAACCUUGUUGACAGAACACAAAAUCGUUUGUGUUCCCAGGAAGUAGGGGAGUCAUAAGAACUACUUAAAUCCCUACAACCUUAGGAAUCAUUUUUUUAGAAUACCCAAGUUGAGAUCUUCGUGCACAACAAUGUUCCAGAGAACUUAGGGGGAUCUUGGAUCGUGACAGAAUCGUAGAUACCACUUUCCGAAAAGAGUAUUUCAACCCUUAUAAGCCUUGGGUUACACGAAAUCUCCCCCGAGGACAAGAUCAUCACCACUCUUAUUCUUAAACUCAAGAGAUAAAAGUAAAACCUUGAGAACCCUUGGAGAAAGAUUACUCCACCACUUUUAUGACCAAAGUGUCUUCAUGUCUUGAAUGCUUUGUGUGUAGUAUGGAGAAUGCAUAUACCAUUGUUGUCUCCUUCCUCCAAUCCACUCCACCCCUAUUUAUACUAGUGGUCAUCCAUAUGCACCCCCUUCAUGAAAGGGUAUGUCCGUCCAAACAAAAAGGGAGGAAAAAAGUUGUUGUUUGGCCAUUUUUGGAUGGUGUCUUUUGGUUCAAAUCAAAAGAUAACUACCUCUUUUGAAGGAAAAAGGAGGAUGACAACCCAUAGGGAUAUAGCCAUCCUUAUUCACUCAAAUUUAAACUCAAAUAGGAGUGAAAAUGGCAUCACAUAAGGUGGGAAGACCAUCUUCCACCUACACAGUUCACGAGCUCACUUUAGCUCCUGAAACAAUGUCACUACCUUCUGAGCUCAACUUGAGCUUAGUAUUCUUUAGUGACACUCUCCUAAUUCAUUUCCAAUUUAGCUCAAAACACUUUGAGCUAAUGUUAACUGAAGUUAGCUAGGAUAAUCAUGAGUUAAGACAUGAUUAGCUGAGGUAGAGCCAUCACUACCACAAGGUAAGUGUUGCUACUACUCAUACCUAAUAUAAGCUUCUCAAACCUAAUUAGAGCUACUUAAUGAUUGUAAUAACAAUUCUUAAGUCACCAUGAGCUACUCAUUGCCUUAAUGAAUAAUCAUAAAGCUAUCAUCACAUAACUUUAAGCUACACUUAGGUGCUUCAAGCCAACAUGAAUUGCCUCUAGCUACCCUGAGAUGUUUCUAGCUACUUUGAGCUAACUUUGAUGUACUUCUAGUUUUUUUGAGCUAGUAUCAAGUAAUAAAGUUCCUCCUCCAUACUUAUUCAAACUUCAUUGAGCUACUUAUCAAGUACUCAAACCCCCCAACAUUACAAAAUAAUGUUAUAAACAACCAUGAAAAUAGAAAAAGUUUUGAACACAUUCUUAUGCUAGCAUCCAUGAAAAUUAAUUUUGUUCAUUCCUUUUAGACACUAUAAAAAAAUAUAGUUUUAGUAACUGUUAUGUUAAUAAUAGUUUUUUGAUAAAACAAUCAUUCAUAAGCCAAAACGGUUUCUAAUAAUUUUUAGUGAUCAAUAAAUUAGUGACAGAAAUUCUUGAGAGAAAAACAAUAAACCUGAUGAUAGUCAUUUUGAUUUGCAUUUCCAAAAUUGCCACCAAAGAAAGCAGUUAUUAUACAUAUUACAUAUUUACAAUAAACUUCGUGACCAUCAGAAUAUUGAUCUUAGCUAGCUAGGGCAAUGUCGAACUUACCAUAGUAAACUAUGUAUAUUCGAAAUUGAUCCAGUCAGGUUGAACUUAUCCAACUAGAUUGGAAACUAAUUUCAAACAUCACAUGCCGAUGAAGUGAUAAAUUUGUCAUGUCACCCGUGAAUUACCUAGGCAUGUAAAUAGCCACGAUUAAAUUAGUUAUGGAUGAAAUAUUCACAGAAAAAUAUUAUCUAUUUGAGGAUGUAUAACAAACUGAUCAUCAAAGACACAUCUUCCGACAAGUUGACGCCACCAAUGAAUUCAUGUCGAUAAGAAAACAUACAAGACCAAUGAUCAGUUUUAAUUAGUUGCUUAAGUAAUGGAAGAAUGGAGACCAAUGUUUUUUGUUUUAGUAAUGGCGGGGGGGGGGGGGGGGGGUGCAACAGCUACUGAGUUCUUGAGAGUAGAGCUUUUGUCUCCCUGUUGAUAUUAGUAUCGGUAAUCUUGUCCGUUAAUUUUGAUUCCAGGGAACGCAAGGGCAAACUCUGUUUCUAAACAGGAAUUCGCCUCUCAACAGGCGAAACCAAUUGAUAUUGGGAACACUCCGCGCUGGAAGAAGAGCUGUCUCACUGAGAUGUUCUUCCACGUCCCCAAAGGUAAGUGCUUUGGUUUCUGGAGGUGUGGGGAACUCUGUUGAUGAACAGCCCAGGUUUUCUGACAAGCCAACGGAAGAAGUUAUCCAUUUCUAUAGGGUACCAUUUAUUCAAGAGAGUGCAACUCUUGAACUGCUCAAGUCAGCUCAAAUCAAAGUGUCGAAUGACAUUGUCGGGUUACAGACUGAACAGUGUUUCAAUGUUGAGCUUACUUCCCAGCUUUCGAGCGACAAGCUUGCUGUACUUGGGUGGCUUCUUCAGGAAACGUACGAGCCUGAGAAUUUGGGCACUGAGAGCUUCCUUGAGAAGAAGAGGAGAGAAGGGUUGAGUACUGUUAUAGUUGAGGUUGGUCCCAGGUUGUCUUUCACCACUGCUUGGUCGGCGAAUGCUGUUUCGAUAUGUAGUGCUUGUGGGCUUAAUGAGGUGACUAGAUUGGAAAGGUCGAAGAGAUAUUUGUUAUAUAGUAAGGGUCCUUUACUGGAUUAUCAGAUUAACGAGUUUGCUUCCAUGGUUCAUGAUCGAAUGACUGAGUGUGUCUACAUUCAGAAGUUGACGUCUUUUACGACCAGUGUGGUUCCUGAGGAAGUUCGGUUUGUUCCUGUUAUGGAGAGGGGAAGGGAGGCGUUGGAAGAGAUUAAUCAGGAGAUGGGUUUAGCGUUUGACGAGCAAGAUUUGCAGUAUUACACCAGGCUGGGCUUACUGUUUUGGAUGCCUUGAAGAGGGUAUUGCGCCUUCCGUCUGUAUGUUCGAAGCGUUUCUUAACAACAAAAGUAGAUAGGUGUGUUACAGGCUUGCAGCCCAGCAACAAACCGUGGGUCCAUUGCAAAUUACUCUUGCUGAUGUGGCUGUCAUUGCUCAGACUUAUUCGGACUUAACUGGAGGUGCUUGUGCUAUUGGGGAGCAACCGAUUAAAGGCUUGCUUAAUCCAAAAGCAAUGGCAAGAUUGGCAGUUGGAGAAGCACUCACAAAUUUGGUUUGGGCGAAAGUUACAUCUCUUUCUGAUGUUAAAGCAAGUGGAAAUUGGAUGUAUGCUGCCAAGCUUGAUGGAGAAGGAGCUGAUAUGUAUGAUGCUGCAAUAGCUCUGUCAGAAGCUAUGUUUGAACUUGGCACUGCAAUUGAUGGUGGAAAGGACAGUCUCUCAAUAGCAGCUCACGCAGGGGAUGAGGUUGUUAAGGCUCCUGGUAAUCUGGUUAUUAGUACCUAUGUCACUUGUCCCGACAUUACCAAAACCGUCACUCCUGAUCUGAAGUUGGGGAAUGACGGUGUUCUGCUUCAUAUUGAUUUGGGUAAGGGAAAUCAACGUUUAGGUGGUUCUGCACUUGCUCAGGCUUUUGAUCAAGUUGGAUACGACUGUCCUGAUCUUGAGGAUGUUUCUUAUCUUAAGAAGGUAUUUGGUGGUGUCCAGAAUCUAAUUACCGAUGAGCUCAUCUUAUCCGGUCAUGAUAUCAGUGAUGGUGGCUUACUGGUCUGUGCAUUAGAAAUGGCAUUCGCUGGGAAUCGUGGCAUUACUUUGGACUUGCAGUCACAUGGUAAGAGUCUCUUUCAGACUCUGUUUGCAGAAGAGCUAGGCCUGAUUGCUGAGGUUAGCAGGGAAAACUUAGAUAAGGUAUAUGGGAAAACUUAACAGUGAAGGGGUUACUGCAGAAGUUAUUGGUCAAGUUGCUACUUCUCCAUUGGUGGAACUCAUUGUUGAUGGCCAAACUCAAUUGAGAGAGGAGACUUCAUUUCUCAGAGACAUGUGGGAGGACACCAGUUUUCAGCUAGAAAAGCUUCAAAGAUUGGCUUCUUGUGUGGAGUCAGAGAAAGAGGGUUUAAAAUACAGACAUGACCCGUUGUGGAAACUAUCUUUCUCCCCAUGUCUUACAGAUAAAAAAUAUCUUACUGCUACUUCUAAAUCGAAAGUUGCCAUAAUCCGAGAGGAAGGAAGCAAUGGAGACAGGGAAAUGUCAGCUGCAUUCUGCGCUGCUGGGUUUGAACCAUGGGAUAUAGCAAUGUCUGAUCUCCUUAGUGGAGCAGCAUCUCUUGGCGAAUUCCGGGGUAUUGUGUUUGUGGGAGGUUUUAGCUACGCUGAUGUGCUCGAUUCUGCAAAAGGUUGGUCUGCUUCCAUCCGAUUCAACCAGCCUCUGUUGGCCCAAUUCCAGGAAUUCUACAAGCGGCCAGAUACUUUCAGUCUCGGUAUUUGCAACGGUUGUCAGCUCAUGGCUCUUUUGGGGUGGGUUCCUGGUCCCAAAGUUGGCGGUGUGCUUGGAGGUGGAGGUGAUCCUUCACAGCCAAGAUUUUUUCACAACGAGUCCGGUCGAUUCGAGUGCCGGUUCACAAGUGUGACGAUACAAGAGUCCCCCUCUGUAAUGCUCAAAGGAAUGGAAGGAAGUACACUCAGGGUAUGGG
rnacentral:lncRNA from 1 species